UUUAGCAUCCACCCUUUUCUCCUCUUCAUUUUCUGCUUGUUGUUUCACCCAAAUUAUUUCUUUGGAUACUCAACUACCACCAGCAAGAUUUUUAUUUUUGAAUACAACCUUCCUUUCCAAUCUCUCCAUCAAGCCAAGAAAAAAAGCAACGGUGGUUUAUCAAGAAUAGGCAAGAAAAGCACUUUGAAUUGUUGAUUAAUCAAAUAAACGAGAUGAUAAAAGUAGGGAAAAUGGUGGAAUUACUUGAAGAAUAUGGAAUUGUUAUAUUAAGAAUGAGAGAGCAGCUGUUUCUCCCAAGGCGUUUGCAGGUUCCUUUGUUUUUACAAAGCCUUCGUUCCCCUGCUUCCUCUGCAGUUCAAGAUUCUUCGUCUUUCAUUGUCUACUUUUAGUUCUAUAUAUAUAAACAAUUUUAUUUGAAUCUUUCUUAAUUAAGUUAUAGCUAGCUUCAUAUACGUGUAAUGUGGGGAUUUUUCUUCUUCUUUUUUUUUUUUUUCUGGUUUAAUUUUCCAAUGUACAAAUUUCUAUUUUGAACCUUGUAAUGUGCAUCACUAUGGAUGAUGAUACAAUUUCUUCAAAUGAAUAAGGAAAAAAAAAACGUCUAUACUUCCUGUUCAUUUCAAUCGGUGUCAUUUCCAGUGAAGAAAGAAAUAUUUGGCUGAUUCAGUUUUGAUGUGAGUGCUUUUCUUCGGGAUUUUUUCAUAAAUAGCCGGUCAAAUUCACUAUUUACUUUCUGAAAAUAUAAUUACUAUUUACUUUCUGAAAAUAUAAUUAAAUAAUAAUAGAGUAUUCUUUUGAUUUUAAAUAAGACGAUCAUACACUUCAACAACUAGCCUUAUACAUAAAUUAUACUAAUAUAUUAUACAUUAGUCGGCUACUUUUAAUUUAAGCGAUUGGAUGAGCCGCUAUUGAGGCUAAUUCUUCAUAGUUUUCAGGUACAAAAGUUUCAAAUGAAGCAUCACGAAAAUGAAUCCCAAAAGUUCACUCAUUCUAGCCUCUUGGAUUUUCCUGUACUUCAACUUAUCUUCAUGUCCACUUGAGUGUGUAUUUGCACAUUAUUUUUAAAUCAUAUUCAAAUAGAAUAGUGUGUUGUUUGUUCUUAGCGUAGGGGCUACACAAAAUGAAUGACUAAUCUUUAUUACAAUCAUUUAAAUUUUCAUUAUAGGAUAGAGAGAAAAACCUAUCAUGAGGGCCUCAACGGCUUAACACCAACUAAAUGAGCCUUGUCCAUAUUGAAGUAAUGGUAACUGUCGAGGGGUCAUAACCCAUGAGACCCAUGGGCCCUGAAUAAUUAAUGGGUGGGGCAACAACUACCAAGGCUACAUGGUCCAUAACCACAUCCAAUAAUCCUUUCAUCUCACAAAGUGUAUACAAUGUAAACAAUAUAAAACUAUAAUUACAUAUGUAUGUACAUAAAUCGUCAAGUUUCUCUGAUAUAAGAGAUAUUUCUUGUGUAGUAACAAAGCUUGCCAAGAUUCAUGUUGGUUUCCUAUCAAUUUUAUGUUUGAGACGAACCGAACGAUCCAUCUGAUUUGUUCAGCUAUUGAACGAUGAAAAUUUGAACGAUUGUUGGGUGAUAUGCUCAGCAUCUGUCAACAGUGGCGGAUCGUUGGAAAAUUAUACUAUUUUUAUAUAAUAAUUUUAUGUAUAAAUAGUAGAGAUUGAAUCCUCACUGAAAAUAUCCGCCCGUGUCUGUCAAUGUUGCACUUACAAAGCAAUUGUUGAUUGCUUCUUCCAAUUUUUUAAUUUUUUUGGGUACGUCUUCUUUUGCCAUCUUUUUACCAAAGGAAUAAUUAUUUUGUCACGAUUCAAACUCGGGAAGCCCAACUGAAAUAUAGAGCUUUAAUUCCUUGGGAAACAAACCCUUAAUCUGUAUGUCUGUUCUAAUUCAAUAUGCCUUUCAUGAUCACUCGGUAUUCACUUAACCUGAUUUUGUAUCAAUAAAAUUACAUGUGUCACUCUAGCCAUAUUUUUAACUUCAGGUCAGCAAAAAAAUCUGACGAAAUAAUAGUACAAUAUUUUAAAGGACCCAACUAUGUAUCGAGAUUCGAGUGAGUCCUGAUGGUUGUUGGAACGUCAUUGACAUCUCGCACUAAUUCUAGUGGUCUGGCACUGAUUCUAGUGCUAGCACAAACUCUAGUGAUUAAUCUACCCAAAAAAAAAAACUAAUGAUUUCUUUCACAUUGGACAUCUUUUUCAUUAACUUUAUUUAAUUCAAUUAAGAGUUUAAAUUUUGUAUACCGUAAGUAAUAUUCUACACUAUUAGGUAGGCUAUUGCAUGUUAUUCAACUUUUUAUAUAAAAAUGUCUGAUAAUAUAGAAUUUUUAAUAUAGUGCACAAAAUUUGAAUUCUUCAAUUAAACAAUUUAAAUUACUUCCACUCACAAACAUCUUUAAUACCUUUCAAAUAUAAGAUAAAAGUAUUUUCACCUUCUCAUCGAAGUUAAAAGAUGCUUGGAAUGAGUUAGAUCUUCUCGCACCUGAACCUGUUUGUGACUGUGAAGUAUCAAAGGAAUAUACAGAUCACUUGUGUCAUCCACGACUACUACAGUUUCUCAUGGGUUUGAACGAGAGCUUUAGUCAUGUUAGGAGUGAUAUCUUACUUAGAACUCCCAUAUUGAUAGUGAAUCAAGCUUAUGCAGUUGUUAUUCAAGAGGAAAGUCAGAGAAAUUUCGGAGUGACUGAUUCUCACAAAGAAUCUGUUAGCUUGAUGGUGAGAAGAGGAAAAGGUCCUAGAGCUGUUCCGAAGAGGUUUGGAUAUUGUGAUCAUUGUGGUUGCAAAGGACAUGUGAAAGAGCUGUAGACACCUAAUUUUGUCCCUUCCAAUGUUGAUUUUAUCCAUUUUUAGCUUACCUUACCACGUGUCCUCAUCCAUGUGAUUAUAUCCUAUAAAAAUACAAAAAAUAACAACCCUCAACAAAAUCCUAACAAAUUUUAUCUUGUUUUAAUUAUCCUAACAACCUACCCCACCUCCUACUCACCUUACCACCCUGCUCAUUUUUUAUUGGAUUACUUUUAACCUAAUACACUAACAACAAAAAUAGACAGGGACCCCACUAGUCAGCAACAGUAUGGGUAUUCACUCAUUUCCAUUUUUCAGGGAAGGCAUUUUAACAAUACAACAUUCUAUACACUCAUCACUCACAGGAAAUAGAGAAGAGGAAAAACACGCACCUCACCAGAAAAACACUCUCACUCACAGAAUUCAUAAGCACACACAUCAUUCUUCUCCACUGAUCUUCCACAAAAAACGCAACACUCACACAUACAUGGGGGGAGAGACAACAGAGAUAGACACACAACAAAAAAUAAAGGGAGGGAGAAGAGAAGAACAUGAGAGAGAGCGCAACACCAGUGAGAGAAAGAGAUCGAAAAAUGGAAAUCAAUAUGGAAAAGGAGAAUAGAUCGGUUGUUUAGGCUAUUUUUGAUUAAAUUUCACCGAGAAAGGGAAUUCUACCAAUUCUCCGAUCAACCACGUCCCAAACCAACUCUCCUCGGCACCGCCGGAGCUCCGGUGAAACGAGAAACAGUAAGUCCAGUUUUAUUCUGACCAAACUAGCAUCAAACAUUCACUCCCGACCCCAUUUCAGUUCGAAUCUCACCGGAACUAACAAAAUCAACGAAAUCCGACUCGUCCCAGUCGAUUCUGACCAAAUUCUAACCGGAAAAGAAGAUAAAAAUAGAAACGGCUUAGUCGGGUCUGUUGGGGGUUUAGUCCAGAUUUUAGGAGUUUGGCUUCGAGUUGGUGGGUUGAGGUUGAAGUUCAAUUUGAGGUUUCCGGCGACUCUAUCUCGUUUAAUUGAAUAACACUACAUUAAAAUUGACAAUUGAGGUCCGAUUCUCUUCUCCCUCUUUUUUUAUUUCACUCUUUAUGAUAUUCGGUGCUAUGGAUUGAACGUUUGCGUGUUGUUUGAUCCUUGUUGAUGGUGAAUAAUUUCUUGGUGUUGAUUCAUUAUUUAUGUGUUGUGUGAUGAAAUGAUAUCUUAUUUGAGAAUUAAAAUCGGUAAUUUGAGAAUAAAAAUGGGGCGGAAAUUGAAAGUUGAUAAAAAUGAAUAUUGUCGUUUUGAUUCAUUGAUGUCGUUGAUUGUAAUAGUGUCAUGAUUGGUCGAGCUGGGUAAUAAAACAGUAGGCUCGGGUAGGCAAAUUUAGAACUUGUGGACUGCGGAAUGUUUGGAAUAUGUGUUGAAGGUUUUUGUUUACCGCAUUUGGAUCAACUGUAUUCAUUUAGACAGGAAAUGCCCCGAGGACACUUGUAUUUAUUCAUCGGGUAAUGCCCCGACAUAUUGUGUUGGCGGAAGAUGUUCGUGAUAAAGAUCUGAGGCACUGGAUGGAGCGUAGUUUAGGAUUAGUGUAGGUUUACAUUUAUGUACAUUUUUAUUUUGGGUUUGUAAUAAUUGGACUGGACAUUAACUUUUGGAUUCUCGUUUGUUUUGUUUAAUUGUUGUGUGUUUUAUGUGGUUUAUACAUUUGUAGUGUCAAAAUAGCCGAUAUGUUCCCACCAAGCGAUUGUGGUACAACCACGGGAUCGAGGGGUGCCUAACACCUUCCCCUCAGUCAACAGAAUUUCUUAGCCGGAAUCUCUGUUCGCAAACCAGUUUAAUGAGUCAAAUUGUUUUGAAAAGAAUCUUUCAAAGGUGACUUGGCACACCGGAUUAUGUCAAGUGGCGGCUCUGAAUACAAAAUGUAAAUAAUCCUUUUUUGAAAUAAAUUUUCAAUCUUUUGUCACUUUAAUAAUAAAAACCCUUUCAAAACUUAAAUCGAAUCUUUUGGGGUUGAAAAAGGGGUGUGACAGCUUUGGCGACUCUGUUGGGGAUUUUUCAAAAUUCGAGCUUAUUUUUUGAGUUGUAUCGACUUAGUUUGACACUAUGGGUGUAUAAACAUUGUUUGUGUUAUCGUUUGUGUUUAUUUUAUCAUUGUUGUGUGCCUACGUGCUACGUGUUUACAGUCUUUCUUUAUGUGUUACCACUUUAUAUCUGGCAUCAUUUGCAUAACCCAAGUCAAUUUUUUCUGCAACAAGUCUCGGAGUGCACGGCGUGUACAUGAACUCUAGUUGAGUCAUCCUUAUUUUUAGGAGGGGGAGCUGUCGGACGUAUGGAGUGGAUGAAAAGCUGUCACAGCCACUAUCGACCAUACGCUCCCCCGAACAACCUUGUUAGUGAACCCCAACUUAGGUCAGCCUUUAGGUCAUGCUUAUCUGCAUCAUAUUGAGACCUGGAGGGGCCUAUUUGGUCCUUUGUAAGAGACUCACCUCUAAAGCAUCCCUAUGUGCUAAAUAUUGUAUCUUUGAGGGUAACGUGGUCAUUUGACGGACUGAUUCAGGGAAAGCAUUUGUUAGAAGUAACGUGUGUUUGAAAAAAAAAAGUGAGUCAAAAAGGGUUUCGUAACUUUUAGUGUUCUUUAUGGCUUUUGUUUUUCACAAUUCAAAAAUUCAAAAAGAUUUUUUACCUUUUGCACUCAUUUUGUCAAAAACAAAAACAUCAAAAAGAUUUUUCUUUGUUUCAAAAAUGAUUUCUUUUAAUAGGAGUUUUAUAAAUGAAAAUUUAAAAAUGGUAGAAGUUUUAUACAUUUCAUAUAGCAAAAAUAUCUCAAAAAAGAUUUUUCUUUCUUAGUUGUGGGUGUCAUGUGUCAAAUUAAAAACCCUAAAAAGAUUUUAUUUACGUUCUUCACUCUCUUGUCUUUAGUCGUGUCUCAAGUCAAGGUUUUGUUUGUUCUUUAAUCCUAAAUUGUCCAAUCUAGACGAACUACGCACCCCUGAUUCUCCUCUCUUGGGAGUGAAAUACGUAGGUAGCCUAUUGUGGGUUUGGGGAUCUUAUUUCAAAAAUCUAAAAAAGAUUUUCUUCACUCUUCAUUUAGAGUAGGUGUUUGAUGUACAUCUUUAAAAGAAAACAACAAAAAAAUAUUUUCCUUUAAUAGGUUCAAGUUUCAUUUUCGUAUGAAAUUCAAAAUCAAAAAUCCAAAAAUAUUUUCUUCGGUAAUCAUAGAUUUCAUUUUGUACAGGAAUCUGAAAAAAUUCAAAAGACUUUCCUCACUCUUCAUUUAGAGUAGAUGUUUCAUAUACAUCUUUAAAAGAAAACUACAAAAAGAUUUUCCUUUAAUAGGUUUAAAUUUCAUUUUGUUUGAAACUCAAAAUUGAAAGCACAAAAAGAUUUUCUUUGGUAAUUAUAGAUUUUAUUUUGUAUAAGGAUUUAAACUUGAAAAAUACAAAAAAAAAUUGUCAAUUCUUUUGACAAUUUGUUAUUUUAUUUUUCUUUGAAGUUUCAAGAAAAAAAUGAAAUGAGUUUAAUUGGCCAUUUUGGCAAGACUUCACAAAUUACGCACACCUGAUUCUCCUCUCUCGGGAGUGAUAUACGUAGGCGCCCUUCUUGGGUUCGGUGAUCUUUUCUAACAAAAAAAAGAAGAAGAAAAAAGAGGUUGUGAAAAGUAUUGAACUCUAACCCAUUUGUUGGUUUUUUGUUGAGUCAGUUUAAGGUGGUUGGUUUGUGGCAUUCUGACUGGUCCUUCACAUCACACAAAAUCCAAAGGGUUAGUUGUGUCCAACAAAGAUAUAGAGAGUGACAUCAUGGAUCAAACAAAGAAUCAGAAAAAAGAGAGUUUGAAACAAGAGAUUAGGAGGGUAAGACAACAAAUGACAAAAAUGCAUCGAGCUUGGGCUAGUGGGUUGCGUCCUCCUUCAUUUCCCCUUAUUGAUCCUAAAAACACCUCGAGUUUUCCACCAAAAUAUCAAAGUUAGUUUUCUACUGUUGUUGAUGCACCGCAACAUGACUCAGAAUUCAUUCCGAGCCAAAAGUAUCUCAAUACUUCCACUUCUUUUCCUCUAUCUCCUCGUCAUAAGCCUGCUAUAUUUACAACACCACAUAUCGUCUGUGAUCUUGUUGCUCAAUUCUCUACUGGGACUUCCACACUGGCUCGCCCAAUGGUUGUGCGUCCCCAUGCUGCUAGUGAACCUAUAGUCAAUACUCUUGGUGAUCAUUAUUAUACUCCUGAGCCUUCUUUUAAGUUAACUAGACUACCAAAAUUUCUUAACAAGAAGUCUAGUACGCCAGAAGAGUCGGAGAAAAUGGUUGGAAAAAUAAAGAGUGUAGAAAAUGUUAUGAAAAAUUCUCUAGGACCUACGGGUAAAGAAGAUGUUUCAUGCAACGACUGGGGCAGGCCUUCAAGUGAUAACCUUCCUCCAAUCUUUAAGAUAUCAAAAUUUGAAGAGCAAGAUGGGCAUGAGGAAUCCGUGAAACAUUUGGGAUAAUAUUGCAAUCAAUUCAGGGAACCUGGAGAGAAGAAGAAUGAGAAAGAUAACACUGCUAUUGUAGUUGGAGAGAUGACACUGCUAUUGUAGUUGGAGAACGGGCACAUCCAAGAAAACGACGUCGUUGUUGCCGUCAGUCUCAAGCCCAAGUUCACACCCAAGCUCUUCAUAAUCACUUCAAAAAUCCAUUAUACUCUAUUUUCCCACCUUCAUAUCUAGUAUAUUGCACACAACCAUAUGUUCAACUCCCUUCUUACCCACAAUGGCGCGCACCAACUCUUCAAAGCCAUCCUCCAAUUCCAUAAACAUACCAAAGCCCUUCUAGGCCUGAUGUUCGAUCCAAGCCAAAUAAUGAAAUGAGGCAGAAAUUGAGGGAUAGUUUCACACCAAUUGGAGAGUCGUAUGCCAGUUUAUUUCAGAGACUAGCACAGCGAGGCAUGAUCAUUCCUCUCCUUGGGUAUACUUCUGACCCGCAUUAAAAAGGUUUUGAUCCUACUCUACGAUGUGCAUAUCAUUCUGAUUUUCAGGGUCACAGUAUUGAAGAUUGUCAUGCUUUGAAAAAAAAAUUGAAAAGAUGAUUCAAGAUAAAUCAAUUAUGGUGCAGAACGUUGAUCGUGGUGGAUACUCUAGUCAUGCUGCUAUGUAAACUAGUGGCUAAGUUAUCAGACUGAGCAAUUGAGAAGUCACCCCUCUCCCUACUAGAAAGAGGUCUGGUAGUUUGUUUUUUUUUCUAUUCUAUUUUCCGAAUUAUUUCAAGAUUGUAGUUUGGGAUCUAUCUUAUUUUGUCCCAGUGUCGUUUAUGUUCAAACCUUUCUAUCUUUUAUUUCAACUAGAUGAAGUGUCCUUUUGCCUUUGUGUUUUAAAUGUGUGUUUGUUUUUUUUACACAGUACAUUUUAGAUUGACUCUAGUGUUAUGACAUGCCUACAGAAUUUUCAGCUAUAUCUUAAAAUUCAAUUUAAGCAUGAACAUUGAAUCAGAGGGUUAAAGUUAGAAAAAUAGGGCAUCUGAGAAAAUAGGUAGAGUGCUGAGACAUUUGGUGAUAAGUUCAAGCCUUCUUGAAAAAUUAAGGCAAUUGUUUUGAGAAUUGUAAGAUUAACUUGGUCAUCAAUUGAAAAACAUUGCUCAAUUAGGUCAAAUAGCGGAUGUGUGAUCCCGAGGAACAGAAAAAUUAACUCCAUGAAAGCAUGAGUCAUUCGAUGUGAGAAAUGUACAACAAAAGUGGAGUGAUAUGUUGAACAAAGUGCAAGAGUAGUGAUGCACAGACUCAGUUAAAGUUAAUGCUUAAAAAAUGUCACAAAUGAUCUUCAUCUCUCACUUUCAUAUUGCAUUAUAUGUACUUGCAUUUUCAAGGAUUGAUAUGACGAAGGAAUUUCAUUCUUCUAUCCAAACAUCGCGUCAUCUUUUGUUUACCCCAUUUGAGCAUUAGUCCUAUUUUCUUUCAUACCCCUCUUUUGGAAUCAAGAUAGAGUCAGCAAAGCUCAAAAGAAAAGUGUCGAGCAAAAUAAUAGAGUCAGAAAAACUUCAAGAAAAAAAAAAUAUAUCCAAAAAGAAAAAAAAGAAAAGUUUCAAGACAAAUAGAGUCAGAAAAAUCCAAAGAGAAAAGAGUGUCAAUAAAAUAAAAAGAAUCAAAAGUCUAAACCAUGCAAAACAAGUUGCGAGAACUACGCGUGACCUGAUUCUCCUCUUUUGGGGGUGAGAUACGUAGGCUGCCCUAUUCGAGGCUCGGUCCAACUAAAUAAAUGAUUUAGAAUUCCCCAGUCAAAAGAAACUGGGGCAUGAGUUAAUUCUCAUUGUUUGAUUCAAUUCCAAAAGUUGUAAGUCCCACUGCACUUCAAGUGUCGUUUGGGCCCCAUGUUAUCCUUUCUUUCUAAUCCUAUCGAAAAGCCAAGUUACAACCAAAGAAAGAACUUCAAAUCAAUCUUUGAGAAUGCGCUAAGGAUAAGCAUGCAAUGGAUGUGAUGACACAUUUUGGAAACUACUUGUCUUCCUUAGUGUAAGAAAUUAGAAGAGAAAUAAAAAUGAGAGACUCUUAUUGAUGAAAACCCUCACGGGCACUAUAAGACGAUGGUGAGUUGAGAUAAAUAAAAAUGAGAAAGUCUUAUCGGUGAAAACUCUCACGGGCACCGUAAGACAACUGUGAGUUGAGAGAAAUGAAAAUUAGAAAAUCUUAUUGGUGGAAAAACCUCACGGAUACCAUAAGGCAAUGGUGAGCUGAGAGAAAGAAAAUGAGAGAGGCUUGUUGGCGUAAACCCUUCAAGGUGUCACCAGCCGAAUGAGGUCUCUAAAUGCAAUUGACCUAAGGAAGUAACUCAAUUUCAGGGUCAUUAUCUCAACAACAAUUGGUGAAAGUUUGGAUGAAAAGAUCAGGCAGCUUAAUCCAAAUGCAUGGUAUAAUCAUUAGAGUUGAUUGACAUUUUAGAUAAAUUUUCAUUUCUUUGUUUCAAAUGGGGACAUUUAUUGUCUUUUCUUUCUUCUCUUUAUCUUUAUUUUUAUUUUCUUGAUUUAGUUAUCCAAAAAAAAAAUCAUUGUCAUUUUUCUCGUGUCUUUGAGUCAAGUCCAUGACAAAAUAAGUGAGAAAAGAUUUCAAAACUGGCUACCAUCUUCUUCAAUUGCAUAAAGCAAGACAAAGUCACCAUAUGAAAGAGACAUGAUUGUGAGUCGAAUAAGGCCUGCAGAAAGUUUUGUAAACAGACAUCUUGGGAACUCAUGAAAAUACUAAGGUUUAAAGGGUUUAUCUGAGAAGCAUGACAAAGUAGAGAUAUUAUGUUUAUUUCGAAGUCACUCUUAAUAAUCUGAGUUUACGUCAAUGAAACGACAAAGCAGGGGCAAGUUCCAGCAGUCUGAAACAAAAUGAAGGGAAUGAAUACUAGAGCAGGUGUCGGGACAGCCAAGUGCCGCAAGCCACCACUAAGUUUUUAACUAACAAAUUUUCUUUGUUGAAGCAGGGGCAAAUUUCCUUCACUUUAUUCAGCUACCAUUGGAAAUGCACAUCUGUGAGAUUUUACUUUCUAUUCAGGAUCUUCCUGGAAAAUGAAAAUUUACUUUAUGUUCAGGACCCUCCUGAAAAAUGAGAAAUUUACUUUAUGUUCAGAACCCCCCUGGAAAAUGGGAAAUUACUUUCUAUUCAGGGCCCUCAUGAAAAAUGAGAUUUUAUUUUCUGUUCAGGACUCUCCUGAAAAAUGAGAAUUUACUUUCUGUUCAGGACUCUCCUGAAAAAUGAGAAUUUACUUUCUGAUGGGAUUUUAUUUUCUGUUCAAGACCCUCCUGAAAAAUGGAAAUUUACUUUCUGUUCAGGACCCUCCAGAAAAAUGGAAAUUUAUUUUCUGCUCAGGACCCUCCUGAAAAAUGAGAAAUUACUUUCUGUUCAGGGCCCUCCUGAAAAAUGAGAUUUUAUUUUCUAUUUAGGACCCUCCUAAAAAAUGGGAUUUUACCUUCUGUUCAGGACCCUCCUGAAAAAUGAGAUUUUACUUUCUGUUCAGGGCCCUCCUAGAAAAUGGAAAUUUACUUUAUGUUUGGGACCCUCCUGAAAAUGGGAUUUUAAUUUAUGUUCAGGACCUUCCUGAAAAAUAGAAAUUUACUUUAUGUUCAGGACCUUCCUGGAAAAUGAGAAUUUACUUUAUGUUCAAGACCCUCCUAAAAAAUGGGACUUUACUUUCUGUUGAGGUCCCUCCUGAAAAAUGAAACCAUAAUUUCAAACAAUGAAAUCUUUGUUUAUAAUGAUCUUUGUUUAGGAUAAUUCUCCUUCUAGUUUUAUUAUGAUUUCAGAAUCCCGCCUGAAGAACAGGGUGAUGAAAUUGAUAGUCAGGAGCUUGCCUGAAGAACAGGGUGAAAAAGUUGAAUGUCAAGUAAUAAGUCGAAGAAAUCGAAAGUCAAAAAUAGCAAGUCAGGAGCCCGCCUGAAGAACAGGGUGAAUAAAUAAUAGUCGAGCAACGAAGUGAAGCAAUUAGAAGCCAACCAACAAGUUCGAAGAAAUUGUAAGUCAGGAGCCCGCCUGAAGAACAGGGUGAUGAAAUGAAAAAUUGAUGAAAAUUGUAAGUCAGAAGCCCUCCUGAAGAGUAGGGCAAAUAAAUGAAUGUCAAGCAACAAGGUGAAGCGAUUGAAAACCAAGCAACAGAGUGAUUAAAUUGCAAGUCAUCAGCCCGCUUGAAGAAUAGGGUGAAAAAUUGCAAGUCAGGAGCCCGCCUGAAGAAUAGGGUGAAAAAAUUAUAAGUCAAGAGCUCGCCUAAAGAAUAGGGUGAUGAAGUAGCAAGUCAAGAGUCGAGGAAAGCUGCAUAGAUAGAGUUUUUGUAAUUUCAUUUAUAUUUUUAACUUGUAAUUUUUAUUUUUGAUGCAAUGAUAGAGCCGCGGACCGGAACCUCGAUGGAACCUCACUCGACUCUCCAACUCGGUGUAGUCUUUCUCUUUCCAAUCCUUUGAGAUACCCUUGAAUUGAUUCCCUCAUAACUUGGGUAGGUAGGAUGUCCUAAAUCAAAAACUUGGUUUCCCUCAUUCCUUCUGUUUCAUUUUUUUGAAUAAUGGUCGAGACAAAAUUUUGUCUCGUUGUCUACUUCUUUGUGUGAAAACACUUCGUAUUUACAUUCAAAGGGGGCAUGCUGUAGAUACUUAAUUUUGUCCCUCCCAACAUUGAUUUUAUCCAUUUUUAGCUCGCCUUACCACGUGUCCUCAUCCAUGUGAUUAUAAACCAUAAAAAUACAAAAAAUAACAACCCUCAACAAAAUCCUAACAAAUUUUAUCUUGUUUUAAUUAUCCUAACAACCUACCCCACCCCCUACUCACCUUACCACCUCCUUCAUUUUUUAUUAGAUUACUUUUAACCUAAUACACUAACAACAAAAAUAGACAUGGACACAUUGAUCAGCAACGGUAUGGGUAUUCACUCAUUUCCAUUUUUCAGGGAAGGCAUUUUAACAAUACAAAAUUACAUACACUCAUCACUCACAGGAGAUAGAGAAGAGGAAAAUCACGCACCUCACCAGAAAAACACUCUCACUCACAGAAUUAAUAAGCACACACAUCAUUCUUCUCCACCGAUCUUCUCCACAAAAACCACAACAUUCACACAUACACGGGGGGAGAGACAGCAGAGAUAGACAUAACAAAAAAUAAAGGGAGGGAGAAGAGAAGAACAUGAGAGAGAGCGCAACACCAGUGAGAGAAAGAGAUCAAAAAAUGGAAAUCGGUAUGGAAAAGAAGAAUAGAUCGAUUGUUUAGGUUGUUUUUGGUUACAUUUCACCGAGAAAGGGAAUUCUACCAAUUCUCUGAUCAACCACGUCCCAAACCAAUUCUGCUUGGCACCGUCGAAACUCCGGUGAAAUGAGAAACAGUAAGUACAGUUUUAUUCUGACCAAACUAGCAUCAAACAGUCACUACCAACCCCGUUUCAGUUUGAAUCUCACCGGAACUAACAAAAUUGAUGACCAAAUCAACGAAAUCUGACUCGUCCCAUUCGAUUCCGACGAAAUCCUAAUAAAAAAAUGAUAAAAAUAGAAACGGGUCAGUUGGGUCUGUUGGGGGUUUAGUCCAGAUUUUUGGGGUUUGGCUUUGAGUUGGUGGGUCACGGCUGAAGUUCAAUUCGAGGUUCCCGGCAUGGACUCUGUCUCAUAUAAUUGAAUAACACUACAUUAAAAUCGAUAAUUGAGGUUCGAUUCUCUUCUUCCUCUCUUUUUAUUUCACUCUUUAUGAUAUUCGGUGCUAUGGAUUGAACAUUUUCGUGUUGUUUGAUCCUUGUUAAUGGUGAAUAAUUGCUUGGUGUUGAUUCAUGAUUUAUUCAUGAUUUAUGUGUUGUACGAUGAAAUGAUAUCUUGUUUGAGAAUUAAAAUAGAUAAUUUGAGAAUAAAAGUUGGGCGGGAAUUGAAAGUUGAUUUAAAUGAAUAUUUUUGUUUUGAUUUAUUGAUGUCGUUGAUUGUAAUAGUGUCAUGAUUGGUCGAGCUAGGUAAGCAAACAGUAGACUCGGGUAGGCAAAUUUAGAACUUGUGAACUGCAGAAUGUUUGGAUUAUGUGUUGAAGGGUUUUGUUUACCGUAUUUGGAUCAACUGUAUUCAUUUAGCCAGGGAAUGCCCCGAGGACACUUGUAUUUAUUAACUGGGGAAUGUCCCGACGUAUUAUGUUGGCGGAAGAUGUUCGUGAUAAAGAUCUGAGGCACCAGAUGGAGCGUAGUUUAGGAUUAGUGCAGGUUUACAUUUAUGUACAUUUUUAUUUUGGGUUUGUAAUAAUUGGACUGGACAUUAAAUUUUGGAUUCUCGUUUGUUUUGUUUAAUUGUUGUGUGUCUUAUGUGUUUUAUACAUUCAUAGUGUCAAAUUAGCCGAUAUGUUCCCACCAAGCGAUCGUGGUAGAUCCACAGGAUCGAGGGGUGCCUAACACCUUCCCCCGGUCAACAGAAUUCCUUAGCCGGAGUCUCUGUUUGCAAACCAGUUUAAAGGGUCAAAUUGUUUUGAAAAGGAUCUUUCAAAGGUGACUUGGCACACCGGAUUCUGUCAAGUAGCAACUCUGACUAAAAAAUGUAAAUAAUUCUUUUUCGAAAUAAAUUUUCAAUCUUUUGUCACUUUAAUGAUAAAAACUCUUUCGAAACUUAAAUUGAAUCUUUUGGGGUUGAAAAAGGGGUGUGACAAGAGCAAUGCUACAAAAUUGUAGGCUAUCCUCCUGAUUUCAAGAAUAAGAAGAAAAUGCAGGGACAUGAUGCUAAAUCCUAUGCUGCUAAUCAAUUUUUUUUAAGAAUCUAGUUCAGGUGCAAGGGAUCCUAGAGGAGGAUACAAUCCAAGAAAGGGCACAUCUUCUUCAGGAGUAAUGCACGUCAGUGACUAUAGCCUCAACACAGGAAGCUCUUCAUCUCCAGUAGCAGGUGGAAGUAACAAUACUGAGAAUUUUCAUUCUAACAUGACAGGUAUAAAGUCAUUGCUAUCCACUUUUAUGUCUUGUAAAUGGAUACUUGAUUCAGGAGCUACACAUCAUAUAUAACACCUCUUAAACAAUUCUUAAUUGAUCUAAAAGAGGUUGAAAGUGGAGAGAAAAAUGGAUUCCAAGUACCUACUGGUGAUAGAUCGAUCAUCACACAUACAGGAAAUACAACCAAACUAAAAAACAAAACAAUUAAAUGUCCUUUUAUGUUCCUAAUUUCAAGUUCAGCUUAUUGUCAAUUUUGAAAUUGACAAAGGAACUCAGUUGUUCAGUCACUUUCUACCCGGAGUUUUGCCUAUUUCAAGAGAUUUACAGUGGCAAGGUAUUAGGGAUUGGUAAAGAAAUGAAAGGUCUGUACUAACAAGAGAGUUCAAUAACUGCAGCAGUUUCAAUAAAGAAAGAAAAGAUUAUACUCUGUGGCACUUGAGGCUAGGGCAUCCCCCAAUCUCUGUGAUGCAACACGUUUUUUCCUUGCAAGGGAGGAUUUCUGAUAAAUCACAGGACUGCUGCAUGGUUUGUCCAUUUUCCAAGCAGAGUAGACUCAAAUUCCCUAAAAGUACUUCCAAAACUAUUGGUAUUUUUUUUAAUUGGUGCAUGUAGAUGUGUGGGGACCUUUCAAAGUACCUACUUAUGAUAAGAAACUCUAUUUUGUGACUAUUGUGGAUGAUUUUAGUAGAUAUACUUGGACAUGUUUGAUUCAAUCUAAAUGUGAAGUGUUUGUGGUAUUGAAAGAAUUCUUGUCUAGAAUAAAGACUCAAUUUGAUGCUUGUGUGAAAAUUUUGAGAUCAGAUAAUGAAAAAGAUCUCUUCAAUUCUCAAUGUAAUAAAUUGCUUUCAUCUCUUGGGAUUAUUCAUCAAAGUAGUUGUCCUUACACACCAUAACAAAAACUGUGUUGUGGAAAGGAAACAUAGACAUAUAAUAGAAGUAACAAGAGCAAUUAAGUUUCAAAGUGGAGUACCACAUAGAUUUUGGGGAGAUUGUGUAAAAACAGCAAUAUAUAUUUGAUCAAUAAAUUGCCAUCUAAAGUCCUUCUUGGAAAGUCACCCUAUGAACUGUUGUAUGGUAAACCUGCAACACUGGAUCGCCUUAGAGUAUAUGGAUGUUUAUGCUUUGCAAGUGUUUUACCCAAGGUAGGAAAAUUUAAUCCAAGAGUUAGGAAAACUAUAUUUCUAGGGUACAUGGAAACACAAAAGGGAUACAAACUGCUUGACAUGGAUUCUGGUGCUUUUCUGAUUAGCAGAGAUGUAGUUUUUCAAAAAACCAUAUUCCCUAUCAAAGGAACAACUGAAGGUGGUGAUGCUAUUUUCUGUGACAUUCCAAUAUUUUCCGAUAGUACCUGGUCCCCUCUACAAAUGAUAAUUGAUCACUCCAUAAAUGAGCCUCAGAUCACUAGUGAAACAUCACUGCCUACUGAUAUUCCUGGUACUGAUGUUUCUGGUGUUGUUCCAGCGGAAUCAACAACUACUCAUGUUCCUGAUAACAUUAAGAUUACAACACAAAUUGAAGAACAUGCAGCUUCUGCACCUUUCUUAUUUAUAGAUGAGUCUAACAGAAGACCUAGUAGAGUGCUUAAAUCACCUCUUUUGGAUGCAAGAUUAUGUUACAACUAACAAGAUCAAGAAGUCUACAAAACAACCUCAUUAUCCUAUUGCCAAUUAUCUAUCAUAUACAGCUCUUUCUCCUACAUAUGUCUCAUAUUUAGCAACUCUCUCCUCAACUGUAGAACCAUAAAGUUUUCAAGAGGUUUCACAGGAUAAACAUUGGAUAAAAGCUAUGCAACAAGAAAUUGCAUCACUGGAGGACAAUCACACAUGGGAGGUAGUAGAUUUGCCAGCAGUAAAAAGAACUAUAGGGUUCAAAUAGGUGUAUAAAAUAAAGUACACUGCAAACGAAGAUGUAGAGAGGUACAAGGCAAGGCUGAUGGCAAAGGGCUAUACACAAAAUGAGGGGCUUGACUAUCAUGACACCUUCUCACUUGUGGCAAAAAUGGUCACAGUGAGAACUGUCAUCAGUGUUGCAGCAUCAUAGAAUUGACCCUUAUUUCAUAUGGAUGUUAGUAAUGCAUUCCUACAAGGAGAUUUAGUUGAAGAAGUUUACAUGGAUAUGCCCCAAGGUUUUCAUCCACAAGGAAAACAGAGAAAGGUUUGCAGACUACUUAAAUCACUAUAUGGUUUGAAACAAGCUUCUAGGAAAUGGAAUAUCAAGUUAACUGAAGCAUUAACAUAUGCUAGUUAUGUUCAAAGUGCACAUGAUCACUCCCUAUUCACCAAAAAGAAAGAAGAUGCACAGGUCAUUAUUCUUGUCUAUAUAGAUGACUUGAUGAUUACGAGAAAUGAUGCACAAUUGAUCUCUGACACUAAGUCUACACUAUACAAGAAUUUUAAGAUUAAAGAUCUUGGUGGCUUAAAAUAAUUCCUUGCCAUAGUAGUGAUGAGAUCAACUAAGAGGGUGAUACUUAAUCAGAGGAAAUACUCACUAGAACUUCUGUCAGAAGUGGGAUUGAGUGGCGCUACACCUGCACCUAUACCUUUUGAGUCAAAUAAGAGAUUGACAACAGUGGAAUACUAUUAGCAGAUGGGAUGCACUGAUGAUCAGUUAUUGAAAGAUGUUACAAGCUAUCAGAAACUUGUAGGAAAACUGAUUUAUCUUACCAUUACUAGGCCUAAUCUUUGCUUUGCUGUCCAAGUACUUAGCCAAUUCAUGCAAAAACCUAAAUAAUCUCAUCAAGAAGCUACCUUUAGAGUUCUGCGAUAUGUGAAAGAAAGUCCAGGACUUGGCCUCUUUUUCCCAGCAGGGUCUAAGCCACAGUUAACUGUAUAUUGUGACUCUGACUGGGCUGCUUGUCCAAAUACUAGGAGGUUUGUUACAGGGUAUGCAGUGAAAUUGGGUGAAUGUUUGAUUUCUUGGAAAUCAAAGAAACAACACACUGUCAGUAGGAGCUUUGUAGAAGCUGAAUAUAGGAGCAUGGUUGCUGCUGUUGCUGAAAAAGUAUAGAUCACUGGAUUACUUAAUGACUUAGGGAUCAAGAUAACUACUCCAGUUUCCCUGAUCUAUUGUGAUAACAAGUUAGCUAUUCAAAUAGCUUUCAACCCCAUCUUCCAUAAAAGAACCAAGCAUAUUGAAUUAGAUUGUCACUUUGUAAGAGAGAAGCUUAAAGAUGGACUGAUUCAGCCUGAGUUUGUGAACACAAGUUGUCAGUUAGCAGAUGUUUACACUAAAGGUCUCUGUGGUGCUUAACAUCAGUUCUUGAUAUCUAGACUAGGUGUACAUAAUGUUUUCCACAUUCCUAUUUGAGGGAGAGUAUUGGAAUAUCUUCACAAGGAAUGUAUUACUUGAUGAGCUGGCAAGAUUAGUUGUAACUGACGCAAGUGUAGCUUGAUACCCUCUCUAUAUAUAGAGUCAAUGUAACAGUGAAAAUAGAGCUUGAUAAUAAGAUAUUUCUUCUUCUCAAUUUUUUCCUCUUUCUGGAAGUUUCCCAUCAGUGAUGGUUGCUUGAAUUCAUCUAGCUACUGCUAGAUUUCACACAUACCAAGCAUUUCUUUCAACAACCUAGAAACGCGAGUAUUAUUCUACAAACUUAGAGAAAAAAAAAAAUUUACUAGGCGUAGUAUCUUUCUAGCGAAUAGAACUUAAUUUUUUUUACUAACAAAUUUAUUUCUAAGCUUUCUUUGUUACUGCAAGAUGAGCUCAAAAGUUAUUUCAGGUUGCAUUUGAGAAUCCUAUGUAUGAUAUUCACACUUUUUUUUAAAAAAAAAUCCAUAUAUAUAAUUAAUAUUUGACUCAAGCAUUAUGUGGGACAGAAAGCUCAUGAUUAGAGAGUAAAUGUUAUGUCAUUGGGUUUUUGUGUAUGAAGCUCUGCCUCAGGUUUUCUGUUGACAUUAUGUGCAACAGCAUAGGGUGUGGACCUUCCAGGCCACCCAGACUGAUGUUCAAGUCUCAUGGCAUCACAUGUAUAUAUAUUAUCCUAAAUUAAUUCCACAUAUUAUCAUUCACCAAAAAAAUAUAUGUUGUUCUAAACACUUUUAAUUUCUCUUUGAGAGUACAGUGCGCCUCUUCAAACAGAUUAAGUAUUACUCCUCGGUUCAAUAAUUCUUGUUGACUGUUAACUUGACACACAGAAAUAAUAAAUAAUAAGAUAAUUUUACUAUAUAUAACCCUUUAAUAUAAUAAAUUUAAUACCUUGGAAAGUGUAUUGAGUGAUGAAUAAUUUUUAAUAGCAAGAGUAAAAUGAUUAGAAAAUGAUGAAUUAUCUAUUGAUUUUUCAAAAUGGACAACUAUUAUUGAUCAUUUGUUUUAAUACUAGUUUAGCUGUACGUGUCUCGCACGUGUAACUUUUGAUUAUUUAAAAUUAAAUAAUUUUAUCUAUCACGAAGGUUUUAAUGAAGUACAAAAAGUUUAAAACAGAUAUUUUAUCGUAAGCGCAUAUAUAUAUAUAUAAGAAAAAUAGUUAUGUUGUUAGAUUCGAACAUACGAGAAUAUCAAACCUGGAAAUCAAAAUUCUCAAACAAAACAGAUGUAAUAAUGCAUGGUGUGUUAAACUUAAAAUCACUCUCUAAGAUAAAGAAAAAAUAAUAAGUCACGACAACCAAUAGAAAAGGAAAAACAACUCAAAAAAGAGAGAGAAUAAUAUACUAACCUAGCGGAUAACAAUUACAAUGGUUGGAGAAAACACAAAAUACAAGCGUGAAACAGGAUAAUAUAUAUUAAUAUAAAAAUAUGUUGAAAAUUAAACCUAGUCCUAAUUUAAGAAAAAAAACUUACCAUAUUUUAAAGUCCUAAUCCAUUCUCAUAUUUUAAAAUCCUAACCCAUAUAUUUUAGGAUUCAAAAUUAUAUAUAUAAUUAAAUAAUAAUUGGAGAAAAAAAAAGUGAAAAGACGAUUUUGUCUAUUGUAAAGUGUUUUAAUGAAGGCCAAAACGUUCAAAUCACUUUUCUAAAUAUCUUCCCACUUUUAAUAUAUUAUAGAAUAGAUAUAGGUUAUAGAUAUAGAUACAGAUUAUAGAUAUAGAUAUAGAUAAUGGACAAGUAUUAUUUAACAAAGGGAGUAUAUAUAAUGGUUGCAACAUUAUAUUACCUUACAAUACUUGGCGAAGAGUUUAAUUUCACUAUUGACUUCCUAAUAUCAUUAGUUAUACGGCUUUAAAUAUAUGCGUGUAAACAAAGUACAUAGUAGACUACUGGGUGCUACAACUAAAUUAUUUAUACUCUACAAAUGCAAAAAAAUGAAUGGUCUAGUAAAUCAAAUAUUAAAUUCUUCUAUAAUUAAACCACUAAUUAUUUUUUAUUUUUUUUUAAAACUAUAGUAACAACAAUAUAAUCAACAAAUGUAACAUCCAACUUGGGUACAAGAAAAAAUUUUAGGAGAGUUGGAAAAGAUCUAUUAGGGAAAUAUUUUAUCUGUAUCGUGUGUUUAUAUUAGCAUCAAAUAUGCAACUUAUUAUAGUUAAUUGAUUCAAUAAAGUACAUACUAAUUAACUAUAGUCGAGUGAUAGUAACAAAUAUAUAUUCUAAACACAUGCAAAGGAAUUCAUUAAUUUGAUAUGAAUGCGAAUGAAUUUAUAUUAUUAUCGUUAUUGUACCUAAUACCCUUGCGAGUAGUUGCAGAUACAUCCUUCAGAGACCGUUGCUAAUUAAAUUAUGAAUUGUUCAAUGUAUUGACUAAUCGUUGACGUUCAAAGCUUAUCACAAACUUUCCAAAAUAGAAGCAUAAUAUAUGACUAGUCCCUUCAGAGUCUAAUAAACCAACCAACUCAAAAUAAAUUAGAAUUAGACCUCAAUCAAUUACAUACUGUCCAUCAAUAUGCCACUAUAUUGGUUCACUGCAUCUAGGGAUUCCACUUUUCUAGUUAAAUUUAUAUUAGAAAAAACUUAGUUGGAUCUUCCUAUUUUCAUUUUGCAUUGCUAUAGAUAAUAAAAGAGAUUAUUCCCUAAUAAGAGUUUAUUCAGUACAACAACACAAAUAAUGCACUUAAAGUGGUUAGCUAACGACUGUUUAUUAUAUUAACUCGAACCUAACUGAGAUUGAAGGCAGCAAGAGUAGUUAUCAGUUAUCAACUUAUCAACAUCAAACUUCUUAGUCAAGAAAGUUGUUUAUCUAAUUAAUGAGAUGUUUAUCCAUAUUGAUUUCAAGUAAAUCAACCACACUUUCCUACAUUCAUGCAUUUAAUUUCAAGGGGAACCACAGUCCACAGCCCAUGUUCCUCCUCCCAUUAUAUUCAUUAGUAAGUUUUCUGAUGAAGGAAAUUAUAAUUAAUUUAAAAGUCUGUUCAAUAUUUAAAGGAUAAUUUGAUCUCUCAAUAUUGCUAUUCGUCCUUUUAUAAUAAUGCAGAUAUAGAUGUGUGCGCAUCAAGUUAUUGGGUCAUACUAUUUUAUAACACUUUACGGAUUUACUUUAGUUUUAUAUUUAUUAUAAAACUUUUAUUUUUACGCAUAAGACAUCUAAAAAUUAACAUAUGGAAAAUCUUUUGCAGAAUCAAUUGUUUAUUCAAAUUGUAUAAGGCUGUACAUUCAUCAAUUUCCUAGCUCUCGAGAUUUAUAUAGUGCAAUAAUUCCUAGUUACCUCUUCAAGUGAAAGUUGAUCUCAUAUUCCAUGUCUAUCUUGUUGUUUUUCCCCUUCUUUUUUUAGCAUUGUGCUUGGAGUUUCAAAUCUCUCACAUUUGUGGGCAUUUUAUCCUCUCUGGCAUUUUGUUGGAAGUAUUUUUUUCCUUUUCUUUCUCUCUUCAUUUGAUUUAUUCCUUCAAUUCUAUUGAGUACAAUUAACAGUUGUAAUUGUUGUAAAUCUUACGAAAAAUACCUUCUUCACUUGUAUGGAAUUCAUACAGCUUGAGGCAUGUAAAACAGUAUCCUUAAGGAUAUUUCACUCGAUAUGGAUGUAUCUUUGGAAUUCAACAAGCUCUUCCAAUAUUAACUAUGAGCCAAAAUCUAUCAAAGAUUAACAAAACAAAACCCAACACACUAUAUUAUGAUAUAAGAAAAUUUUUUGUCUAGUUCAUCCCUCAAAAAAGAAGAUUGAGUUGAUUUAUAUAGUUAAAAAAUUCAUCAAAUGGGUUGUCAAUGUUGACCAAAAAACGUCGUAAUUGUUAUCAAAUAUUAAUGGGUCGUGCCUCAAAAUUUGGUCAUUAAGAAAAAUAAUAUGACUCAUCAAUAGUAUGUUAUAGAAAGGCUAAACAUUUGAGGAGUUAGAGAAAUUAAAAAAGAAUAAAGGUCAACUAAUAGCUAUUCAAGAAGACAAUCAAAGCCAUUAAAGUAGAAAUCAACUGUUAUUAUAGACAUAGUAAUUUCUUUUUUAUAUAUCCAACUGUAAUUGGGGGAAGGGGGCUAAUUCAACCUGAACUCAUUUGAUUCACCUAAUCAAAUCAGUUUUUAAAAGAAUUGGGCAUGAUACAUUACAGACAGAUUAAGUUCGAGCACUAUCUAUUUUAACUCAUAUUAAAAAAAAAAAAAAAAAAAAAAAAUCGUAACAAAAAAACUAUCAAAAUUCCAAACAUCAAAAACUUGAUAAGAUUGAUAUGAUUAAACUCAACCCAUGACUACUCAGCAUAGGUAAAAAAAAAAAAUUUUAGGAUUUGGCUCCUCCCCAUAUUUUAUCCUCUCUAUUUUUUCCAAGUUAGAAUUGAAAUUUCAUUUCCAAAUGAAAUCCUCUAUGUAUCCUUAAUAUUAUUUAUGUACAUAAACCUUUUAUUUUCCUCAAAACACUUCAUCUACUCAAUUAUUUUGUAAAUCAAGAAACUAAACAUGCUAUAAUUAUAAAUUAAAUUGGAAUUGUAGGGUUAACUUGAGGUUUGCUAAAGUAUAAACUUUUAAAGGAAAAUCUCUAUAGUUUAAAUUAGUAUUGAAGUUUUUAUACUCACAUAUGACAUGCAGUUGUAUAUGUCGCUGUAUAUUGUGGGUAUGUCUUGUAUAUUUUGUAUAUGCCAAAGUAUAUCAACAUAUAUCAUGUGUAUAUCAAGUGCAUAAUUUAUAUUUACAUAUACAUAAAAGAUAAUGAUAUACAAGCUAUACACGGAGGAAGAAAUAUUUGAAGUCAUAGGAGAAAACUAUUGAGGAUAAAAAAAACUACCGCGAAUAAAAAAGCAACGAAUAGUGUUAGUGAAGCACCAUUGAUGGGGCAACACUGGGGGUAGGGGUAGGGGUAGGGGUAGGGGUAGAGGUAGGGGUGUGAAAAAAUCGAACCGAUAAAAAUAUUAUUGGUUUAUUAUUAUUGGUUUAUUGGGUUAAUGAUUUUUUACUGAUUUUAUAAAAAAAAAUUAUUGGAUUAUUGGUUCGGUUCGAUUUUUUCUUAUUGGGUAAACCGAUAACCUAAUAAAAAUAUACAUAUAUGUGUGUGUGACUUAUUAGAUAUUUCUCUUUAAUUUCUACAAAUUAACAAACCUAUUAUUUCAAUUAUAAAAACUCUUAAUUUCUCCUAACAACAUUUAGUUCAAACUUGAAGAUUCUUGUAAUUUAAAACACUAUCAUGUAGGAUUUUUGGUUGCAACUAAGAUUCGAUUUUUUGUUAUGUUAGUUACUACUGUUUCUAUUUUAUCAGUAUUUUCUUAUCGGUUAAACCGAAAACUGAACUGUUAAAGAUUAAAAAUCGAUAAACCUAUAAAAAAUAUCUUAUUGAUUUGAUUAUUAGUUUAGCAUAUAAAAAAAUAAAAAAUCGUUAAACUGAAUCGAUAAUAUAUAAAAUCGAACUAACGAAUGCACACCUAAAUGGGGCAUGGCUAGGGUGUGACGGUGUGUGUGAAAGAGAAGACAACAAUCUUUAAUUUUGUGAAAUUUGUUGGAGGUUUAUAUGUUUAGUAAACCAUUUUUUCUCUUUUUGAAAAUUGGAUAGUAUUGGUAGUUGUAGUAAGUGUCAUACAUUUAUUUUUGUGCAUCCAGAAAAUUAUACCUUGUUUUUGUUCUCUUUCCGUCUCACAUUACUCCCACCGUUUCAUAUUAGUUGGCCUCUAUGGACUUGGCAUACCCAUUAAGAAAAUAUUAAUUAGGAGAUUUAUUUUACCAAAUUAGUCUUAUUAAUUAUGUUUUGAAAAUAUAAAUUUGAAUAAAUACAAUUUGUUUAGUCAUUUAAUGUUAAGGGUAGUAUUGAAAGAACAUAAUAAAAUUCUCUUGAUUUCAUCAAAGAAACAACUAAAUUAAAACAAAUAUUUUUAGAAAGAGGGUCAACUAAAACAAAACGGAGGGAGUACUUGACAUUUAUUUCUGUCUCAUAUUAUAUUAAAUUGAUAUGUUUGAAGAAUCAAGAGAUAAUUUGACAUAUUUUUCCAACCCUACCCUUAAUAAUUUAAUGGGAGAGUAAUUAACUCUAAUAAGUAAUGAUAAUAUUUAAAGUGAGUUUAAUAGGAUCGUAUUAGUCAAUUUGCACUUCCUAUUAAUUUCUUCUUAAGAGUUGUGUAAAAGAUAAACAUGUCAAGUAAUAUGAGACGGGGGAAGUAUUCAUAAAGAACACUUCUUUUUAUGUCCACUUACAAUUUAUACCCGAAAAAAUGAUUCUGCAAAUAUUUCUUUUAUUAAUUUACAUAUCUACUUUUUCUUUACGACAUGUCUAACCAAGUGUUUCUUAAGAGGAAAUAUUGAAAUUACUACAUGUUGUUGGAUCCUCAUAUACAUUGUGAUUAUGAUGUCAAAAGUUCUUUUCACUCAAACUUAUUAGCAUCUUUAUUAGUUCUUAGACUUUAUAUGAUUUAUUUUAUGCAUUAUUUAUAAAACGUGUUUUCGUGCUUAUUAUAUGCUUUUACCUUAAAAAGUCUUAUUUGAUUACGGAUACCUCCUAAACUUACUACAUAAUCCAACAAUAGAUCAUGGAGCAAAAGUGUUGUUAGGGUUGUGAUCCGAAUUAUGUUAAGUGAGCCCUGAAUGGACUUUCAUGUUUUUGGGCCUAGGAUUUAUUUAUACGCACGUAUUAUAUAAGUGCAUUUAGUGGGUUAUUUUGUGCAUUCAGAAAAUUCAGUCUUCUCCACAUUGUACUCUCUUACCAUUAUAGUGAAACCUCCUCUGCCUCUGCCCGUGGUUUUUCCCGCAAGGAAUUUCACGUAAAUCUGUGUGUUCUUAUUUUCUUUUACUUGUGGUUUGCUUAUUCUGUCCUAAUCAUAACAAACUGGUAUCAGAGCAUAUUCGAUUGUUUUCUUGGGAUGACAACCAUUAAGUAUGAUAUUCCAUUGUUGGAUCGCAACACUAGAUUUUUGUUAUGGCAAGUUAAGAUGGGAGUUGUGCUCGCGCAGAUGGAUUUAGACGAUGCUUUAUUAGGGUUUGAGAAGAUGCCCUCAUUGUGGACAGACGAGGACAAACGACGUAAGGAUCGGAAGGCUCCAUCUCAGAUCCACCUUCAUUUAUCCAAUCAGAUUCUACAGGAUGUUUUGAAGGAGGCCACAACCGUUGCGUUGUGGUUGAAACUGUAAUCGUUGUGUAUAACAAAGAGCCUAACAAGUAAGUUGCAUCUCAAGCAAAGAAUUUAUUCCCAUCACAUAUUGAGGGUGCGUCCUUGGAGGAUCACCUAUCUGUAUUUAAGGAAAUCAUUUCUGAUUUAGAUACUCUGGAGGUUAAGUACGAUGAAGAAGAUCUAGGGUUGAUUUUGUUGUGUUCGCUGCCUACAUCAUACACGACCUUUAGGGAUACGAUUUUAUAUAGUCGUGAUACCCUGACGAUUGAUGGAGUCUAUGAUGCAUUGUUCUCUAAGGAGAAGAUGAAGCAUCUUGUGAAUAGGUCGAAGAGUCAAGGGAAUGGUCUCAUUAUUCGAGAAGGAAGGACCCAUGAGAGGAAUUCUGGGGGUGAUGACAGAAAUAGGUCAAAAUCCAGAAACAAAAACAAAACUUGUAAUUAUUGCAAGAAGAAUGGCCAUAUCAAAUCCAAGUGUUGAAGCUACAAUAUAGAGAGAAAAGAGAAGCUCCAAAACUGAAGGGAAACCAACUAGAGAAGUCCAAUGAAGGCAGUUUUGUGCAAGAUGGCGGUAGUGAUGGAGAACUCUCGGUAGUUUCUGAUGGUAACUCCAAACCCUGUGAGGAUUGGAUUCUUGAUUUAGCUUACACAUUUCAUAUGUGUCAUAAUCGGGAUUAGUUUACAACAUAUGAAACAGUCUCUAAAGGUGUUGUGUUGAUGAAAAAUAACACACCUUGUAAAAUAGUUGGUAUUGGAAAAAUCGGGAUCAAGAUAUUUGACGGGGUUGUGAGGACACUUGGUGAUGUGCGGUAUGUCCCAGACCUGAAGAGAAAUCUUAUUUCCUUGAGUACCUUUGAUUCGAACGGUUAUAGGUACACUGGUGAAGGUGGAGUCCUGAAGGUUACUAAAGGUGCUCUUGUUGUGAUGAAGGGACAGAGAAAGUCUGCAAAUUUAUAUGUCCUGCAAGGCUCUACUGUUAUAGGUGAUGCAGUUGUUUCUACCUCCUCUCUAUCAGAAAGUAACGUUGCUAAACUUUGGCAUAUGCGUCUUGGGCAUGAGUGAAAACGGUAUUGCUGAACUAAGUAAGAGAGGACUUCUUGAUGGGCAGAGUAUUACCAAAUUGGAGUUCAGUGAACAUUGCAUUUUCGGGAAGCAGAAGAGAAUCAGAUUCACUAAAGGCAUCCACUCAACUAAGGACACACUUGAUUACAUUCAUUCUGAUCUCUGGUUCCUGCUAGAGUACCUUCUGGAUGAGGCGUUAAUUACUUGUUGACUAUUAUUAAUGACUAUUUCAGAAAAGUUUGGGUGUUCUUUUUGAAGCAAAAGAAUGAUGUGAUGCCAACUUUCAAGGAGUGGGAGACUAUGAUUGAAAAGCAGACAGGGAAACAGGUAAAACGCCUUCAGAUCGAUAAUGGUUUAGAGUUCUGUUCAAAUGUAUUUAAUGUUUUGUGCAAGUCAGAAGGAAUUGUGAGGCACUUGACAAUUGGUCAUACUCCGCAGUAGAAUGACGUGGCCGAAUGAAUGAAUAGGACUAUAAUGGAGAAAGUGUGUUGUAUGCUCUCUAAUGUUGGUUUACCCAAGUCUUUUUGGGCCGAAGCUACUUCCACAGCUUAUUUUCUUAUUAAUCGCUCUCCCUCAGUCGCGAUUGAUAAAAAGACUCUACAAGAGGUAUGGUCUGGUACUCCUGCUAGUUAUUCUGAUUUGAGAAUAUUUAGAUGUCCUGCGUAUGCUCAUGUUGAUAAUGAAAAGUUGGAGCCUAGAUCUGUCAAGUGUUUAUUGAUGGUUAUAAGCCUAGUGUUAAAGGUUAUAAGCUUUGGUGUCCAAAAAGCAGAAAAGUUAUAAUUAGCAGGGAUGUUGUGUUUGAUGAAACUGCCAUGCUUCGGGCUCCCUUCGAAUCUAGUGCUUCGCCUUCGGAUAAGCUUAGUGACAUGAAUCAGCAAUAGUCAAGCACCCAUGUUGAAUUGCAGAUUGGAGUAGAGUCUACACCAAUGCCUACUUCUCAGCCUAGCUUAGAGAUACAGAGUGAUACUAUUUCUUCUUCACUGCCAGUGGUGCCAUAAUAUUCUAUUGCUAAAGACUGGCCUAGAAGAGCUAUUAGACCUCCUCAGAAGUAUACUGAAGCUAAUUUGGUUUCUUAUGCAUUGAGUGUAGCAGAAGGUAUUGAUUUUGGUGAAGAUCUUUCUUCUUACUCAGAUGGAGUUAGUUGUGAUGAUUCCAGCAGAUGGAUGAUUGUUAUGCAGGAGGAGAUGGAAUCACUUCAUAAGAAUGACACAUGGGAUCUGGUGAGAUUGUCUAAAGAUAAAAAAACUGUCCGUUGCAAGUGGGUAUUCAAAAAGAAAGAAGGAACAUCGGGAGCUGAAGAUGCUAGGUACAAAGCAAGACUAGUUGCUAAAGGUUAGAGUCAGGUUCCAGGUAUUGACUUCACAGAUGUGUUUCCUCCAGUUGUAAAGCAUAGUUUGAUUCGAGCAUUUCUUGGUAUUGUGGCCAUGCAUAAUCUUGAGCUUGAGCUGUUGGAUGUCAAAAUUGCAUUCUUACAUGGAGAAAUUGAGGGGAAUAUAUAUAUGCAGCAACCAGAGGGCUUUGUAGUCUCAAGAAAAGAGACUAUGUAUGCUUGCUGAAGAAGCCUCUUUAUGUCUUAAAGCAGUCGCCCAGACAGUGAUAUAAGAGGUUUGACUGUUUUAUGACCUCUCAUAUUUUUCAGAGGAGCAGCUAUGAUAGUUGUGUCUACUUCAAGGAGGUGAGUGAUGGUUCAUUCGUGUAUCUUCUCUUAUAUGUUGAUGAUAUGGUGAUUGCAUUAAAGGAUAUGAGAGAGAUAAUAAAAUUCAAAGCCCAGCUCGGUAAGGAGUUUGAUAUGAAGGAUUUAGGAGCAACAAAGAAGAUUCUUGGCACGGAGAUUUUGAGGGAUAGAAAGAAUUGUAAGUUAUACUUGAGUCAGAAAAAAUAUAUUGAAAAAGUGUUUCACAUGUUCAAUAUGCAAAAUGCCAAGCCUGUUAGUACUCCAUUGGCAACUCACUUCAAACUCUCGAUCACUUUAUCUCCAAAAAUAGAUGAUGAGCGUGACCAUGUCUCGAGUUCCAUACUCUAGUGCUGUCGGGUCUCCUAUGUAUGCGAUGGUGUGUUCCCGACCAGAUUUAUCUUAUGCUGUCAGUGUAGUUAGCAAAUACAUGGCAAAUCCGAGCAAAGAACACUGGAAAGCAGUUCAGUGAAUUUUCAGGUACUUGCAUGGAUCUGCUGAUGUUUGUUUGCAGUUUGAGCGAAAUAAAGAUGGAGUAAUCGGGUAUGUUGAUUCUGAUUUUGUAGGAGAUCAUGAUAAAAGAAGAUCCCUUAUAGGCUAUGUUUUCACCAUUGGUGGAUGUGCUAUUAGUUGGAAAGCUACCUUACAGACUACGGUUGCUUUGUCAACUACUGAGGCAGAGUACAUGACUAUUACAUAGGCUUUCAAGGAAGCUAUUUGGUUAAAGGGUCUGUUUGGUGAACUUAGUAAAGACUUACAGAUUACUACGGUCUUUUGCGACAGUCAGAGUGCUAUCUUCCUUACGAAAGAUCAGAUGUUUCAUGAAAGGAAAAAGCACAUCGAUGUUCGGUAUUAUUUUGUGUGUGAAAUUAUUGCUCGUGGUGAUAUUGUGGUGAGAAAGAUUAGUACUCAUGAUAAUCCUGCUGAUAUGGUGAGCAAGACACUACCAAGUGCCAAGUUUGAGCAUUGUUUGGACUUGGUUAGUGUUAGUUGUUGAGAUGUGCCCUUAGGGGCUUUUGCGGAAGAGAUGGAGAGUUUGUCUUGAAAUGGAUUUUAGUUUUAAAUUAGAAUUCGUGUCAAGGUGGAGAUUGUUAGAGUUGUGACCCGAAUUAUGUUGAGUGGGCCCUGAAUGGACCUUUAUGUUUUUGGGUUUAGAAUUAUGUUCAGUCUUCUCCACAUUGUACUCUCUUUCCAUUAUAGUGAAACCUCCUCUGCCUCUGCCCGUGGUUUUUCCCGCAAGGAUUUUCACAUAAAUCUGUGUGUUGUUCUUGUUUUCUUUUACUCGUGGUUUGCUUAUUUUGUCCGAAUCCUAACAAGUGCCAGUAGCUAAUCAGCUUGCUAGUUUUCAGUUAACUAUAUGGACAAUAGUGGGAUACAAAUGUUUCAUGUACCACCCUUUUUUGGUAUGGAUAUUUUGGAAAACAGUCUUCUACGUAAAUGCAAGGUAAGACCGCAUACAACACACCCUUGUGAUGGAGUUCUUCCCUGGACCAUGCACAUAGUGAGAGUUUUAGUGCAUCGAACUGGCUUUUUUUAUAUUUUGCAGACAGACCAAAGAGGAGUGCACACUACUUGAAGCUUGGCUAUAGAUGUUUUGAAUACCAAGUUGCUUGAUACAAUUUUGUAAUCAAUACUUUUGUAAUUCUUCAACCUGUAACACUAACUCAUUAUAUAAUUCUCCUCUCAAUUCAAGUAGAAAUGGCUAGGAUCCUUGUAGCAAUAGAAAUAGUCAGGAUCUUUAUAGCUCCAACAUAAGAAUAAUCAUGGUGGCAAAUAUGUUGUAUCUUAGUAGUUUAACUAAUAGCUCCCUUGUAUGGAAGUAAUGUUUUGAAAGAAAAAAAAGUCUUUCUUCACCUUUUUAGAAGGUUGUCAUUCAAAUUUACUAGACGAAAAUUUGAUUAAGAAAAUCUAUCGAGUCAUAGAUAAAAGAUCAACGAUUUUGACUUUGACUGUGUUUUCGUUUUCAUAAUCUUUUUUUUUUGUUGUUGUUGUUGUUAUGAUUGUUUUUGAAUUAGUUGUUAAAAAUUCUACAUUCUUUUUACGUAGUAAAAAUUUUUGCAGUCUGUUGGAAGAUUAUAGAAAGUUAUUUAAAUAAUUUGAUGAUGAUAUCUAAUCAUUCACAGACAUUUUAAAACACCUGAAAAGAUGUUUUAAACAUCCACGAAUUAUUUAAUUAAGAGAAUCGAAAAAAAUAUUUAAAUAUUUUGUUAAUUUUUUGGAGGAGGUUAAGGAGGAAAGUGAAGGGACCGAUGAGUGAGGAGUUUGUGUAAAUAAUUUUCAUCAUUAGCAUUAAUUUAAAAAUUGCCCCUCCUAUACUUAGCUAUUUCUUAAAACUUGAAAUUUGAAACUUAAAUAAAAAGCUCGAAAAUUCUUUAUCAUUCAAUGUUUAGGCUUUAUUGGUAUCCUGUCUAUGAUCAUAGUUGGGGCAUACUUUCAUUUUCUUUGAUAUAAGUAUAAUUGAUCACGUUUUAAACACCACUAGCUAUCCUAGCUUUAGUCCAACUUAGUCCUUUUCUUUUUCAAUUUUAUUCGUAUUUUUUGGGAAUAUAUAGAAGAUAGUAUUGCGUUUAGUAUAUUUUAGAGGUUCAUAACAUAAUUUAGUGAUGUUUAUAAUUCGAUUCACAAAUUUUAGUAUCUAGCUACUGCUUUAUACAUAACAAUAUUAUUAAUGAAGAUUAGAUCUAUAUUAGAAUUUAGACAACUCAAUUAACUAGUCUAUCAGUCAAUUAAAUACAACUUCCACUCAGCAAAUAAUAUGAUAGUAAUUCAUUACUUUAUUAUCUUUGAAAAAUAGACACUUUAUAUUUGUAAUAAUUUGACGAUUAUUAUCUAAAACUUCAACAUCUAGUGCAGUUUUCCUAGGUAUUAUUUACCAUUAUUGAAUCUUUAAAAAAUAUAUAACUAAAAUCCUAGGCUCCAUAAGUUUACAUAUUCAAUAACAAAAAGGGAAAAGGACACUCUAUAACACUUUUUAAAAUAAAUAGCCCAAGUUUAAAAACUUUUCAAAAAGUGGUCAGUCGGAUAUAUUAUUUUCGCUUUAUAGUUAUUUCCUAAUUUGGGUCAUUUCGGCCUACGUAGUCCAUAUAUAAUAUUGAUAUAGUCUAUAUACAAUAUCGAUACAGUAUUCAACUUGGGCAAUUCGGCUCUUUUAAAAAUAUUUUAAUUUUUUAUUUGCUAUAAAUUUUUUAAUUGAUCAAAUAUUCUGUCAUUUUUUUAUUGUUUACAAAUAAUAAUUAAAUUAUAUAAAAAUGAUAUAAUUGUUAAAUUGAAUAUGUAUCUAUAUAAGAUAUAUGUAUAGAAAUUGUAUAGUUUUAUGAAAUAUGUAUAUGUAUAAAAUAUAUAUAAAAAAUAUAUAAAAAGUUUAUGAAAAUUAUAUAAUUAUUGUAUAAAACGUGUAAAAAAAAUGUACAGUUUUGUAUAAAUUGUAUAUCAAAAUUGUAUAAUUUUCGUAUAGAAUAUUUAUAUGCAUAAGAUUUGUAUAGAAACUGUAUAGAAGGUAUGUAAAAAUGGUAUAGAACAAGCCAGUAAAUUGAAAUGGCUAGAAAGUGGAAUUUAAAUUUAUGGUCAUUUUCAUGGAAAUAGUUUAAUUUGAAAUGUCGUUUCUUUCCUUUCCCCCAACAAAAAUACCUGAAAGAAAUAACUACAAGUCCACAACAAUAGGAGGUAUAGUUAUAUUUGGAUUAAUUUCAAAUUCAUGUUAUAGUUAAAUAUGAAUUAACAACACAAGCUUAUCAUAAGCCGCGAUAUGAUAAUUAAAUAGUGAAAUGACUAUUAAUUAUCUAAAAUUUUAGAAUAUUCAUUCAAGGAUUAAAAGAGUAUAUUUUAAUUAGUUAAAUAGAUUAAACGAAAAGGGGUCUAAAAUAUACUUUAUUUAUUAAAAAUGGCAUAAAAAUAUCUUUCAUCCAACCUUUGGUUCUAUAAUGUCCUUCACAUCCAUCUUUGGUUCCAAAAUGCCCUUCACAUCCGGGACUCCAAAAUAUCUUUUAUUUAACAACCCAAUAUUAAAUCAUGAAAAAAAAAAUAUAUCAAUGAUGUGACACCUUCCUAUUGGUUUUCAUUUAAUUAAUUAAAAAAAAAUUAAAAAUCAUAACCCACAACACUCGACCCGCCCAUUAACCUUAAUCAACACCCCCAUUAUAUUUUCUAUCUAUUCUUUACUGACAAUUCUCCCAAGUCCCAAGUUCCACCCUUUCAAAUUUGACUAUCAAUGUUGGAUCCUAAUGAGUUAAGUUAGUUGAUUUUGUGAGGAUCAAUACUAUUAUAAUAGGAUUAAACACUGAAUUGUUAGAUGAGCUUGAAAUAUUUGAGAUUAUGAUUUUUUGUUUAAUUUCUAGAAUUUCAUAAUAGGAAGAGAAGUCAAGUGAUUGUUGUGAGAAAAUCUAGAUUCACAAUUCUCAUAGAUUACCUAUUCGAGAAUCUUUUUUUAUGUUAACUAGCUGAAUACAAUCAAUGUAAUUGGGACCAUAAUCUUGACUACUAAAAUGUCCCUUGUUUAAUUUUUAGACGAGAUUGUGAAGGUCGAAGAUUUGGGUAGAAGGUUAACAACAAAUAGUUUUGCAUUCUGCUAGUAGCAUUAGUAUUAUUUUUGAUACAAUAUAGCAGAAUCAGUUCAAUACCACAUGAUACCCGAUAGAUGUACACAAAUAACCAAUAUUAUUUUUGGUACAAGCAACAACAUAACUGGUUUAGACAUAUGCACAAAUACGAUGCAACCCUAACAAAGAAUAUCAGACACAUAUGUUCACUUGUAAAAUAAAGAUGCACACUUGGCAUGAUUUCAUAAUUAAAAAAUAUUAAAACAUUAGUAUAUUAAUAUUGAUCGCCACAAAAUCAACUAACUUAGCUCAUUAGGAUUCAAAUAUUGAUAGGCAAAUUUGGAAGGAUGGAAUUUGGGACUUGGGACAAUUGUCGGGUAAAAAAUGAAUCGAGAAUAGAAAAUAAAAUGGGUUGUGGGUUAAGGUUAAAGAAUGGGGCGGGUCGGAGUGUUGUGGAUUAUGGUUUUUAAAAUGUUUUUAAUUAAUUAAAUGGAGAUUAAUGGGAAGAUGUCAAUCAUUAAUGAAUUUUUUUAUUAUUAUUAAAUGUUAGAGCUAUUAAAUAAAAGACAUUUUGGAGCCCAAAAGUGGAUAUUAAGGAUAUUUUGAAGCCCAAAAGUGGAUGUGAACGAUAUUAUAGAGCCAAAAGGUGAAUGAGUGAUAUUUUUAUAUCAUUUUUAAUAAAUGAAGAAUAUUUUAAGCCCUUUUAUAUUACAAAAAUUAAAAUUAAAAUUAAAAUCAAAAUUUAGCAAUAAUUGGGGCACCAAAACUUCAUCUAGCAUAUAAUUUGACGUAGAUCAUGUUCGUUUUCCAUAUUUUUUGGCUAUUUAUAAUUGUUUGCUUUUUCAAAUUACGAUCAUAUAGUUUACUUCAACCAAAGGUCAUUCGACAGGCGACAAUAGACACUCUAUUUUUAUAAUAUAAAAUUAAGAAUUGUGUAUACACUAAUCUCAUGAGAUUCCUCACUUAUUGGAUUCCACUUGGUGUUGUUGUGGUUGUAGUGAAGGCACCAAAGAGUACUAUUAAUCCUAUACUCCCACCGUCUACUUUACUUGUUCAUUAUAAUAAAAAUAAAUAAUUAUUUUUAUUUGUUCAAUUUAAAAAAUUAAAUAAAUAUUUAUUAUUUUAUAUCUAUUUUAUUAUUGUGAGUUAGAUUUCAUUGGAUAUAUUGUUAUUGUGUAUCUAUUUUACCCUUAUUAUUAAAUACUCUCUCUAGUUCAUACUAAGUUUCAGAAUUCAAUAUAAGUGAAUUUUAUAAAGUCCAAGAGAAUUAUUUCGAUUUUUUUCCAUACUUAUCUUUUUUUUUUACGAGGUUUUUAACUACUUCAUAUUUUCUAAGAAAAUAAUUUGAAAAUAAUUAAAAUAAUAAUAACGGAAAGUAGUCUUUGUUUUAUGUCCUUAAAUAUUUUUCUUAAGAGUGUGUCAUACCCUAAGGAGAUGUUUGCUCUGACGUAUCAAGUAAACUAUUUUGGGGAUAAAAUGUAAGAUUAUUUUAUCUUGUAUUUGAUCGGAGGUAUUAGUCAGUUUGAGAUUAUUUAUUCCAUUAUUUAUACCUUAAGAUGUGAUACCAAAAAAAAAGUUAGCUCAUAUACAUGAUUGAAUAACUAAUCCCAAGAUAAUUAAUUACUGUAUAACUUAUUCCCAACCAAACGAUUCCUAAUAAUUCACUUAAUAUGGACUAUAAGAUGCAUAACAUUUAUUUCUCAUUAUCAAGAUGAUCUAUUUAUUAUUCUUUAAGCGAUCGUUUGAUUGGAAACAAGUUAUUUUAGGAUUAAUUAUGCCAAAAAUAAUUAUUUCGUGAUAAGUUCUCCCACAAUACAUAUGAGAUAACUUACUUAUUCAAAUAACGAGAUAAAUAAUUUCAAAAUUAACUAAUACCUUCAAUUAAUAUAUAAUAAACUAAUAUUAUAUUUUAUUUUGAGAUUAUUAUACCUUAUCCAUCACACCAAAUAAUUUUUAAGAGGUAUAGUAAAUUAAAUAUACUUACUAUAAACAAGUAAAAAUGUGGAGAGAAAAUAAUAAUUAAGGUAAAUAGUGUAAAUUGUGACGAAUUAAUAUCAACUUGGGCAUCUUCGCCGGGGGUGAAGACUGAAAAGAAAAGUUUAGGGGCAAGAUGGUAAUUUGGCAAGUAAAGGAAACCAAAGAAAAGAUGAGUACCAAAAUACAGAAUAAGCCAAAUUCCCCCACUAUAUGCUAUAUGCUAUAUACCUCUUUGAAAGAAAAAGGAAAGAGCAAAUAGAGAAGACUCCCCUUGCCUCUUAACACUCCUUUCUCCCUUACUAUUUCCUCUUUGAUGGGUAUGUAUAUUUUUCUUCUCAUUUUUCUCUUCAAUAAUUAAUUGUUAAUAUUCAAUUUUCAAUUUUUUUUCGAUUUAUAAUUCCUCUUUUUGUGUAAAAAAGACUGAAUUUUUCGUUCUUGAUACUGUAUUUUGUUGUUUAGAAUUGUUUAAGACUAAUUAAAGCUUUUAUGGUUUUUGAUCAGUUGAUUGAAAUAUUGUUGCUUUGAAGUGAUCAGAGGAGAAGAAGAUGAUGGGUUUAGGGUCUUUGGGUAAUGGGGUUAUGGGUGGGGGUGGGGGGACAUCAUCGUCUUUCUCAAAUUUGUCACCUUUGGCUCCACCUUUUACUGUUGAUCGGUCCAAUUCCAAACCGGGUUCAACCCAAUUGUUGAAUUUCAGUGAUUCAGCAUAUACCGGUUCAGUACCAUUUGGACAGUCUUGGACACAGUAUGCUGCUGCUUCUGGCUCUUUAUCGCCAGAUUUUACGCCUUCUGAUUCUGUUAAACAUACCAGUAAUAAUCUUUGGUCAACUUCCAAUCCUACUGUUAAUACUUCUAGUGAGGCGUAUUCGUUUGGAGGUGAGGGGUAUUAUGCACCUUAUGUGCCUUCUGUAGUGAGUGAUGACCACCACUCGUCGGCCUUCAGUGAAGCUGCCAUCAAUGUUUUGCCUAAUUCGGAGAAUAUGGCUGUUAAUGUGUCAUCUCAAGUUGAUUAUACUCAGAGCUUGUCUGGUUUGGAGUACCCGGUAUCCCAUUGGAGUUUUUUUAGUAAAGUUGCUGAUGGAAAGCAAGAUGAGAGGAAGGGAGUUGAUGGAAGUUUUUCUUUGGGGAAGGUUAAUGCUGGUGCUUCAUUUGGUUACGGGAAUUGCAUUUCUCAAGGUGAUUUCCUUUUGUUAUUAGCUGUAGUUUCAUUGUUCUGAAUUGCAAUGUAUUCCUUAUACCAUUGAACAAUGAUGUGAUUGCAUGUGUUCUCGAGUUUUUCAGCUUUGGAAUUUCAGCAUUUUCAUUGUUCAUAUAUGUUUCAUACCAUGAUUCGUUUCGAAUAUAUUACCAUAUUGUACGGGUCUUUGGUUUAUCUGUAUGAAUUUGCAUUCAGAGUGUAUUCAACUGGUGUUUUAUUUGCAUUUAGGAUGUAAAAUCUGACCUGUAUGGGUUUAACCAUUCAAUGCCUUAUGCUUGUUGUUGUAUAAGGAUUUUUUGAAUUGCUUUUCACUAUCGUAGUACUGUUGGAGUCUUUUUUUUUUCUCUCAAAAAAAAGAAAUCUAAUUCAGUUUAUAAGUAUUAUACUAUUCCUGACCUGAAAUUUUCCUUGAUUAUCAAAUUCACUUCAAUUUCUUAUGUCAAUGAUGAAUUAUUCAUCUAUUGGAGUUGAAGUCUUACUUAUACGUGUCAUGCGAUUUUAUCUCCUGUGGUGUGAGGGUUGCUAUGUACUUGUAACUAGUUCAAAGUUGAAGCUUAAAAGAAGUACCUGUCAUUUUUUUAGUCGUCUAAACUUGUGGCAUUUUGUAGCUAAUUCACUUGAAGGUGUGAACAUGGUUGGAGAAGAUUCUGGUGCUAUGUCUGGAAAUUUUACUGACGGAGUAUAUACUGGGAAUUCAAGUAUCGGACAUAUGGAUGCUAAAUCAUAUCUCACUCAAGAACCAGUCUACCCAUCUCUUAGCACAAAAACAGCUGUGGGUUUAAAUCUCCCUGUGUCUUGCCAAGUGGCACUUUCUUUAGGGUCUUCUAAUAAUUACGUGAACUAUGAAAACCCUUUUACUCCACAUGAGAAAUUCUUCCAACCCCUUGAUUCUUGUCCCCGUGAUACUAUAUCCACAUCAAAAUCUUCUCCUGCAGUGGUUAUCAGACCUGCACCUUCUGGAAGUCGUUUCUUCGCACCGAAGACAGACUUGCACAAAAAUGUGGAUAUUUGCAAAACUGGAGCUAGUAAUAGUGAGAAAUCAGAUGUUUAUGACCUGUUAAAGGGUGAGGAAACACGGCUACCAAUAGAUUCUCCGGUCAAAGCGUUUUCGUUGGGCUCAAACACACCACUGGACUUUGGCAAGAUCGAGGAAAUCUUUUCUCAAUCAACAUCAAUUAAUAAUUUGUUCUCGACCCCUCCUCGUGGUAGCAAUGGCAUAGAGGUUGCAGUUAAAGAAAGAUCUGGAUCUCAAGCUCCUUACAGUAGUGCAACACCUGCGACUUUUACUGAGAAAUGUUCAGAAGCUUUAGAUCUUCAUAACCCAAAUGAAGAUUCACCCUGCUGGAAAGGCGCUCCUGCUUUUCGUAUUUCUCUCUGUGACUCUGUUGAAGAUCCAAGCCCAUUCCACUUCAAAGGCAAACUAGAAUGCUCUGAUUUUGGUCAAACCAAUCCUUUAUUUCCUCCAGCUGAACAUUCAGGGAAAACUUCCUUAAAGAAACUUGGUGAGGACAAUCCACAUAACCAUAAUGUACAUGCAGGAAUUGGUCUGUCUGUUCCUUCAGAAGGUACUGCAAGUAAUAACUGCAUCACAGGAGAACAUAGGACCAUUGAUGUCACCAAAGAAACAUUUGCACAUAUGGAUCUGUCCAGCAAUGGCGGGGUACUUAAAUUUUCUGAAGAUCUGAAUAGGCCUAGCAAAGGAUAUAAUCUGCCUCAGUACUCUGAAAAUGAUGGUCAACUACAAUCGUCCUGCAGCAAGCACGUUAGUGCUGAUGAACACAAAUAUGGACCCAUAAAGCAUAGUUUGCCGGAGGGUUUUAUGCAUUCUGGUUUGAACCUCAAUGACACAUUAGAGGGUGGAGUAGUUGCACUAGAUGCUGCAGAAAAUGUUUUACGUUCACCAGCUUCUCAAGAAGAUGCCAAGCAGGCACAACCAUAUCAAAUGGUAUCAAGUCCAAAGCUGGAUGUUCGUACACUUGUGCAUGCAGUUCAUAACCUUUCGGAGCUACUUAAAUCUCAAUGUUUGAAUAAUGCUUGUCUACUGGAAGAUCACGAUCAUGACACCCUUAGCCACGCAAUUGCCAAUCUUGGUGCAUGUACCACGAAGAAGAUUGAAACAAAAGAUACAAUGUUUUCCCAGAAUGACACUUUUGAAAAGUUUGUAGAAUCUCGCCGCUCUUAUAUGGUAUGUCUACGCGUGAGAACAAACUAGCUAGUUUUAUUUUUAGGUGUGGCGAAAGUGUUCAAGUUGUGGAAGCAGUUACAGUAUUACCAUGACCGGCGUGGUAUUAAAUCCCUCCUUGCAGACCUUAGUACUUGUGUGGACGUUGACCACCUCUCCUUUGCAUGGUGGGCAAUUGGAUCCCAAAGAUCUAAUGAUCCAGAUAUAAUGGAUAGAAGAGGAGCUUGCAUAUGCAUUUUUCUCAACAACUUUGGCAUGAUUUCACCUAUUUUGUUUGUUAAUCAACCUACUUUAUCAUGCUACUUUGCAUUAAAUGACAUGCUCCCCUUGCUUGCUUUACUCUCUAAGUCUAAUAGUGAAGAGUGAACCUAUAGAUGAGAUGUGUAUUUGUAGUGUUAUUGUUGCUGUUUGUACAAUUGUCAUCUCAUAUAUAUACUUUAGAAUGGAUGUCUUAUAUCAAUGAACUAGUGUUGUUAAAUAAGAGAACCACAAUCAUUAAGGUAUCCUUUUGUUUUGACUGGGUUAGUCCUGUUUUUGUCUGACCUUUGAAUACUUUAAUCAUGCAUUUCUAUUUUGUAUGCAAGAAUAUGAAACUAGGUUGUAGUAUGUCAUUUUUUCUUAUCGAAUUAAUUGGCUUUGUCUGUCAGCUUUAGACUUUUGAUUGUUGUGUACCUUCGGCCAUUGACUGAGUCAGUCCUGAUUAUCUUGUUGAAGUCUUGGUAUUUUCAUUAUAUGUUCUGUUUUGUGUGCGAUUGAAAGGAUCUAAAUUUUAAGUUCUCUGUGUGUCGACUUAAUAGGCCAUGUUUGUUAUCGUAACAUUUUAGAUAAUGGUUUUCUUCUCCAGGGCACCGGGAUAGGUCACCCCCAGUUUAUGGGAGAAGUUACUUGGGAUUCUUGUGAACUCAGUAAUCAGCCGAUGCAUGAAGAUAAGAGCAAGUUCAAUGGUAAGAAAGCUGAGAUAUCACCCCUUCUAACUCCUGCAAAUGACUUAGAGGAUUCAAAUGAAGAACAAGUCGCUCAGGUAUGCUCUCUGUGUAAGGUUGUGAAAUUGUCAUUUAAAUUUUAGUCUUGUAAAUUCAAGUGUUAAGAAUGAGACUUCGAAGGAGUUGCAACAUCCAGAGUUCUAUCGUAGUGGCAUACUAAUAUGGUAGGCUUGCAGGCUAUAAAGAAAAUCCUCAAUGAGAACUUUCUCUCUGGUGAAGCAAUGCAGCCCCAAGCCCUUCUUUUCAAGAAUUUAUGGCUUGAAGCUGAAGCAAGAUUAUGUUCCCUAAGCUUUAAAGCUCGUUUUGACCGAAUGAAGAUUGAAAUGGAGAAGCAUAAAUUCAGCCAAGGAAAAGGUAAAGGCUGUUUGUUUUGAUAUCUGUGCUGUUACUCUGUUACUGUUCUAUCUCCGUUCUGUUUCGGACAUUUCAGUAAAUGUGACUGUUGCCAAUAAGAUUUUGUGCUUCAAAUUUUCUCCAGACUUGAACCUGAAUUCCUCAGUGGCAGCUGAAGCUGAAAAUGACUUCGCAUCAAAGGCUACCACCCCGAGUACCUCUACGUCAAGCAAAAGUGUCCACAUUGACGAUUCUGUAAUGGAGAGAUUCAAUAUCUUAAAUAGAAGGGAAGAGAAAUUGAGUUCAUCGUUCAUGAAAGAGGAAAAUGAUUCUGUUAAGGUUGCCAGUGAUGCUGAGGAUUCUGUUAUGAUGAAGCUAAAUAUCUUAAAGCAACAGGAAAACAACUUCAAUACAUCCUUCAUGGAAGACAAAAAAGCUUCUGAUAUGAUUUCUAAUGGCACUGCGGAUUCUGUUAUGGAAAGAUUCAAUAUAUUAAGACGACGGGAAGACAGCUUGAAAUCAUCUUUCAUGACGGAGAAAAAGGAUCAGGAUGUGGUUGCCAAUGAUGCCGAGGAUUCUGUUAUUGCGAGACUCAACGUCUUAAGACAGCGGGGAGACAAGUUGAAUUCAUCUUUCAUGGAGGAGAAAAAGGAUCCAGAUAUGGUCGCCAAUGAUGCUGAAGAUUCUGUUAUGUCAAGAAUCAGUCUAUUAACACACCGGGGAGACAACCUGAAUUCACCGUUUAUGGAGGUGAAAAAAGAUCUGGACAUGGUUGCUGCUGGUUCUGCAGGUAUGGAGAAUCUUGGAUCGUUAAAUGGUGAAGUAUCAGAAGAUCGGAGCACAAAUGUGGUUAUAGAGCCUUACUUUUAUCAUCAGAAUGUUAGUGCCAACGAAGAUAAAUUUGAGUCUUAUGCGGACGGUUCUGGAUACGACUCCAUGAAACAGUUUCUUCUCUCUGUACCAGAUGAUCCAGUUGUCCAUUCAAAUUGGAAGGCCAGACUGGGAAAUCACCACUCUUCAGGUUUGUAUGAUAGUUCUUCUUCAGACUGGGAGCAUGUAGCCAAGGAUGAGUAUGUGUGACAGCCGAUGAGACGAGACGUUGCAUCGAAGAUAUUUGAUGCUCUCUUUGAAAGAGACUCUUUCCAGUCAAUACAUGAAUUAACACUGUAUAAAUUGUAGAGUUGACGUAACUGCGUAUUCCUAUUUUCUGUUUUCUGAUACUGCAAUAUACUUACUCCGUUGUGCUUAUCGUUUUAUUUCUAGCUUACUUGUGUACUAUAUUUUGGUAAAUCAUUACUUAAAAUUCUGCUCCCACUUGAAGAAAACAUAUUUCAGCUAUUGAAUAGAGUACUGGCCAGAUAUCAAGUUCAUUGAGAGGAGGCUUAAAACUGUCUCAAAUGGUUGUGUUGACUUCACUCCAAAAGUGGGGUGUACGUACUUUUAGCUAGACAAUUUGCAGAAUCAUGCAUGAAUUCUCUUGUUUGUUACAAGGGCACACCAAUUUUGUCUAAAAUAAAUUGAUUUCAAAUAUUUUGCAUUAGAGAGGACAAUUGUUUGUUGACUAGCUACAUUAUCCCUCUUCAUAGAAUAUGUUAAAAUGAUAUUUGCCCUUUAGGAACUUUUUUGAUUCUUCGUUUUAAAUUUUUUGCUCAAAAGAAUACUCUUUUGUUUCUCAAGUUGAAUGUCACUUUUAUAUAACAAAUUAUGUUUCACUAGCUUUAUAAGCCCAAAAAAGUUCUUUGUAAUCGUACAGCAAAGUAUGCAUUAGUUUUUCUUUUAUGUAGAGUGUUGUGGUAUUUCAAUCCUUAACUGAACCUAAGACUAUGAGCUUUAUUGUCUAAUCAUGUUAUGUUAACACUAUGUAUUUAAUAGUACUAUAAUAGGGAGGUUAGCAUACAAAGAAUAAAUAAUUUACAAAUGAUAAGUUGGAUAUAUUUUCUUCCGUAUAAGUGUGUGAUUGCUUGUAUCAGUUAGAAAUGAGAUUACAGCUUUUAUGACCCAAUUAUCUAUGCAUGGCCGGUGUAAAUAAUUUUUUGAUACUAUCAAUUGAAUAUUAACUUGUGAUGGUAAGUUAGAUAAACAUUUUUAUCAAAGUACCAAUUAAUGUCCACCAAAGGAUGUGAUGCAUCGGAUGAGGCUGCUCCUCCCUGAACCUGAGAUCUUGGGUUUGAGCGACGGGUAUGGAAAAAUCCUUGGUAGGGAGAGCUUCCCUGAAGAAGCCAUACGCGGAGAGAAUCCGAAUUAGUCGGGCUCCAAUGCGGAUAUCGGACACUGGAUGGAAAAUAGGAAAAAAAAAUAGAGAGAUUGUGUAAUCUUCUAUAUUGUCAAUACAUAGAAAUUAUAUUCUUUCUUUGUAGAACUCUUCAACUAUUUUUUUUUGAUAACUGAGGUAUCUAGGUCAAUUUGCACGCACCUCAAUUAAUUUCAUGAAAUACUUGUCACCUCUCACCAUCUACCCUUCGACUCAUUUCUUAUCAGCGCAGGUUUUUGUAGUUUACGUAGCUCAAUGAUUAUACAUUUGAUUAAAGAAACAUAAUUAAGACCUAAAAUAAAAUUAGAAAACCCACUUGCAAGCAUAAUCCACUGUAAUCAGCAGAAAUCUAGGGCUAAAUCAGUGUCUAACCACUACACUUUGUAUUCUCAUGCAAAAAAGUCGAACAAAAAUUGAUUGGAUGAGUCAAGCUUGUUUUGUUCCUACAUAUACCCCUAAGAAAAAUAAAGAUAGUAAAAUGUAUUUACGUGCAAUUAUAGUCAAACUGACCAACUCCAGUUGUCCUUAACCUUCCAAAAUAGUGAGUUAUUAACUUUCUUAGGUAUAUACAAUUUUACAGCUCACUGCCUUCACUAAACUAAUAUUAAGAUAAGUGAUAUCAAUGGGUUUUCCUUGUCCCUAUAUAAAUUGACAUCGUCGUUGAAGCUACUCAAGUUCAGUAAGAGAAAUUUUGUGUUGAGAGAUUAAGGAAUAGAGUAAAAUAAGUGUAAGAAUGUUGAUGAGUGCACUGAUAUUGUUGGUUCUACGUGCGUGCAUGAUGUUAGAAGCACAACUUCAAGUGGGAUUUUAUGAGAAUUCAUGUAGUAUGGCUGAGCUCAUAGUGAAACAAGAGGUCACAAAUGCCUUCUUUAAAGAUAGGGGAGUGGCUGCUGGCCUUGUUCGCAUGCAUUUCCAUGAUUGCUUCGUUAGAGUAAGUAACUUUUCCAUAUUAUUAAUUAGCUUUUGUGUGCAUCACAUAUGUAUCUUGUGAAGGGUAGCCUUGUAGUAAAGUUGUUGUCAUGUGACCAAGAGGUUACGGGUUCAAGCCUUGGAAACAACCUUUGGCAAAAAUGCAAGGUAAGACUACGUACAAUCACCCUUGUGGUGGGGCCCUUCCCCGAACCCUGCGCAUAGUGUGAGCUUUAGUGCACCGGGCUGCCAUUCUUUUUACACACGUAUCUCGUGUGGCGUACGUACAUCUUAUGUGCAUUUUGUGCGUCAUACGUACAUCCCGUUGUCAGUUAGUAAAAAUGUUUUAGAAUCACAGAGAUGGUAUCAUUAAAUAUGUGUGGGGGUGUACUACCAUUGUGAACUAUCUUCUAUCUAGCUUAAGAAUGGACCCCAAGUCAUUGCUUUAGUGGUUUUAUGGUCGAGCCGACCCUAAUUAUGACUCUACCGAUAUGAAUAGGGUUGUGAUGGAUCGGUGUUGAUCGACUCGACUCAAUCAAACGAAGCAGAGAAGGACUCACCAGCAAAUAAACCGAGCCUUCGAGGUUUCGAAGUCAUUGACAGUGCGAAGACCAGGUUGGAAUCUGUUUGUCAAGGAAUUGUUUCGUGUGCUGAUAUACUCGCUUUUGCAGCUAGGGAUAGCGUAGAGAUAGUACGUAUACUGCAGUUACUCAUGCAAAUUAAGAUUCUUUAAAAGUGUAUUUUUUAACAUAUUACGUACUUUUAACGCUUGAAAUUAAUAGACUAGAGGACUUGGCUAUGAUGUUCCAGCUGGUAGAAGAGAUGGCACAAUCUCAUUAAUUACUGACACAAGAAAUUUGCCCACUUUUACAUCUAACGUUGACCAGCUCAUCCAAAACUUCAAAAAUAUGGGACUCACCCAAGAAGAAAUGGUUACUCUCUCUGGUAAACAGAAGUGCAGCACUACGUUUAAAGUUUUAUGCAUUGAUAGUUUAUUGAAUCUUUGAUCUCCAAUGUCUAGGAGCACACACCAUUGGUCGAUCUCAUUGCGGGUCCUUCAGAGACAGAUUAUACAACUUCAGCUCAACGACAAGCCAGGAUCCCAGUCUGGAUCCAGCCUACGCAGCCCAGUUGAAGAAGCAAUGUCCACAAGGCAGCACGGAUGCAAGUUUGGUGGUUCCAAUGAACCCUGCAAGCCCAACUGUCACUGAUGUAGGUUACUACACUGAUAUUCUGGCUAACAGGGGCUUGUUUACAUCCGAUCAAACUCUUCUCACAAAUCCAUCAACAGCUAUCCAAGUAACACAAAAUGCUAGGAAUCCAUUCCUCUGGAAAAGUAAAUUUGCUAGUGCGAUGGUGAAGAUUGGCCAAAUAGGUCUCUUGACAGGCACAGCUGGCGAGAUCCGAGCUAACUGUAGAGUCAUUAAUAGCUAAACAAAUGUUAUAUAUCACUGUAUUCUAAUCGGGGACUGUUCCUUUCAAGCUGGAACUUUCACACCGCUCUAUCUUCUUAAUGGGAAAUAGAUUAUGUAUUGCUUCACUACCCUAUUAUGACAUUGUCGCAAUUCCAGAUAAUUUGAUCUUUAGCAAUGGCGCUAUUCAGGCAAAAUGGAAAUAUUCUAAGAUAACCACCCUCAUGCACAAUAUAAAAGUUCCAAUAUAAUAAAGAAAGCCCUUCAUUUCUUGAUAUUGGCCAUUGAGGUUCUACAACGCACUACUACUCAAUAAGGCGUUCGCCAAUUAAAAAGGGCAACAAAAAUAGAAUGAGAUCACGAGUUCUUUCAAAAUUCAUCAUAGAGCAUGGAUUGAAAGGUGAAUACUUGAAAAUACUUAAGUGGUCAGCUCCAUGAUGGCACUGACUAUGUCUCCAUUGUGGGUCUUCAGAGCCUUGACGGCCUUGCUCCUGGACACUCCUGCUUGUGUCAUGACCAAAUCAAUGUCCCUAGGUUCAACACCAGUCUCGUCGACCUCCUCUUCUUCCUCAUCUGCAUCUGCAGCAGCAGUAGAGGCAGAAACAUCUGGCUUGGCCAUCACGGAUCCCAUGUCUGGCAUCCUAAACUGCUGAGCUGCCUGUGUCUGCAACUGUGAGCUCAAGUCCUCGAUCUUAGCCUCUCCAAAUAUAACAUAAGUCUCAGAAUUCGGGCUUUUGAAGACAUCUGGCUUUGAGAUGAAGAAUAAAACCUGUAGUAUCGUGAUUGAAUUGGCUUGCAUAAAUUCAUAUUCUUUUUAUAAGUAUCAAAAUUGAGUAAAAAUGCUACGCAGAACAAGCAAGGUAAUUUACAUUUUUAGUCCUCUUAAUAGUAACCCUGCUAACCCCUGUAACAGGUUUCAUGCCAAGCUUCAACAUUGCUUUUCUGCUCUUCUUCUCACUUCUGCUUUGCUUAGAAUUACCACCUGCAUCAUUUUCCACUCAAAUUCGUUCAAAAAUUAUAUUAACAAGCAUCAUCCAGUGUGGCAUAGUUAUCUCAGACAUCAUACAACUAUGUAAAAAACAUUGCAUGCCACAGCUAAUAACAUGAAUAACUAAAAAACAUAACAUAAUUUCUUACAAUGUCUGAAAAUUGUCAGACAGAAAUGAAUAGUAUAACAUCAUCCAAUGUCAAAAAUCAGGCAAUCCCAAUAACAUCUAUUAUGAAUUUCAAAUAAUUAACUACAGUAGCAACCUUUUCUCCUUCUAACAAGCUUUUGAAAACAAUGUCAUUAAAUAAUUAUCUCAGUUACAUAUAAAAAAGGGCAACUCGAUGUACUAAAGCUCCUAGGGCCGGACUAGGAGGGUCUAUUCUACGCAAAAUUACCUUGCAUUUACAUCAAUGUAUGCUAAAACAGAGAUGAAAGAAUACCUUGGACGCCAUCUUCCUUGUCAUCGUCUUCAUCGUCGUCAGAAUCCUCGGCAUCAUCAUCGUGGUCGUCUUCUUCUUUGACAUCCUCAACAAUAGGCUCAUCUUCCUUAAGCUUCUUCUCGGCUUCGACUUCUUCGAUGACGGGGCCUGGCAUGGCUGCUAUGUUCUGCUUUGUUUUGUGUGAUGGGAAAGGGAAGGGUUAUCGGAGCUUUGAGGAUAAAAUUUGCAAGCAGGAAGGGAGGAAUCGAAUGGUGGGGUUUUAUCCUAGGGUUCCUCUUUUAAUGGGCUUGGGUAACUAGAGCCCAAUAUCAUAUCAUCAUCAGCCCAUUCAUACUCCUCUUUUAUCUUCAACAAAAUAACAAUAAACAUUAGACAUUUCAUUACUUUACGAGCUGAUUACUCUUUUUUACACAAUUCUCUCAUAUUACAUAAAAUUUUAUAAAAGAUGAACGAUGAAUCAUCAGAAAAUCUUUGAUACAUAACUUGUGUGAUACAUGAACAACUAAUCUGAAAAUUUAAAUUAAUCAAAUUACUUAAUAUAAGACGGAAAUUAAGAAAUGUAGCCAUGUGUGAUUAAUUUUAUUUUAUUACUUUUUAAAAAUAGUAAACUCAUUAACUUCAUUAAUAUAAGACGAAAAUAUGUAUAUUUUAGUUAUAUAAUUAGAUUAAUUUUAUUUUAUUACUUUUUAAAUAAUAAAUAUAUCAAUUUGAAUAUAGAUAGACACAAAUGCAUUAAUACAUAUCAUGAAUACAUACUAAUCUCUUAGAUGCAUAUAAAUUUUUAAACUGUGAUAUAUGUGCACAAAUAUAUUCGUAUGUAUCAUGGACAAAUACUAAAUUUCAUAUUCCAUAUGAGUUAGUAGCCUAUGAUACAUUGUCACACAGAUGCUUUACAUUUGUAUACCAUGAACAAACAUUAAAUUUCAUAUUUCAUAUGAGCAAGUAGAUUAUGAUACAUGAAAACUUAUGAUUCAUGUAUCUGUGUAUAGAUACAUACCCAGAAGAAGAAAAAGGAACACAUAUACUUCUUCAUCAAAUAAAACAAUAAGAAAAAUAAUAGCCUCACGUUUUUUCAUGUCAAACAUCAUCGAAUCUCCACUAGCAAAAUCACUCUUACUUGCAAUGUUUUUGGUAAAUAUAUCCAUAAAAGUUUCUGAUACUUUCGAUACAUUAUAGUUUUGAUACAUUUAGCUAUUUCAUGUAUAUACUUCUUAUAUGUUUCUAGUAAAUGUAUAAGCUUCAGAUACAUUAUGUUUCAAAUACAUUUGAUAUAUUAUGAAAUCGGACUAUUUUUGACUUGAAUAAAAAAAAAAAAAAGAGAACGAUGGAUUUGAUGGUGGUUGGACGAUGGAAAUCAUAGAACUGGAGGCUUGCAUUCCGUCCGAUUGCUUGUCUCGUCGGAAUUCUUCGUCAUUCGGCCAAAAAAAUGAAACUUUGGAUUGCAUAAUCUGAUUGCUUAUAUCGUCAAAAUUCUCUGAUAUUCGAUGAAAAAGAUGAAAUUUUGGGAAAUUUUUGUUUUGAUAGUGAUUUUGAAAGUAACAGCUAAACAAAAAAUCCAGAUUUAAAUCUCAGUGUUUAUAAUUUCCUCAUUUCAAAGUCAAUUCUUUAUUCUACAGUUAGUGUGAGUGUUUCUUGGACCACAUUUUUCAGGUCUAGUUUAGCAACAAUAAUUAAGUUAACACACUGCUUCUACUGGAGAAGUUUCAGCAGCUGAAAGUCGUCAUUGUGCAUUUUCAAAUAUGUGAGAAGUUGACUGCUGAAAAGCAUCUCAACAGGCUUCCUAACUUGAACUGCAAGUUCAAUAUCUUGUUUAUCUAGAACAAACUUAGAUUUCAAGUUAAAUUUCUAAUCCUGAGACUUUUCUAGCUUCUGGUUAAAUAGAGUUUUGGCUGCCUCGAGUUACGAUAUGGCCCAAUCCUUAUUAUGUAUUUAUGAUGGUUAAAGACUUCAUUUUGACCUCGGACCGACCCAAUUUGUUAAACAAUUCUGUUUUCAACAUAAUUUAAUUCAUGAAAAAUAAACUUCAACCACAAAUAAAAAAUAUGAAGAAACAACAGUUUUAUUGAUAAACGAUGGGGUACAAAUCUGUUCCUCCCUUGAUUCUUCUCUCAUGAUUUUCUCCGUAAUUUGAGUGUCAUAUUUCUCGAAUGUAUGAAGAUUUGGAUAUGAAUUUCUCCGUAAUUCGAGGGCCGUUAGUCACGUAUUCUCAUUAUUUUCUCCAUAAUUCAAGAGCCAUAUUUCUCGAAUGUAUGAAGAUUUGGAUAUGAAUUUCUCCGUAAUUUGAGGGCCGUUAGUAGCGUAUUUCUCGAACGUAUGAACAUUUGGAUUUGAUCUCCAUGAAAGGAGGGUUUGUCUUCUUGAUGUAUUUGAUUAUCAAGAAAAGAGGGUUUUGAUCUUUAUGAAUAUCCCAUGAAUUUAUUGGGACUUUUCAGAUCGUUGAUAUUGUAGACACCUAAUUUCGUCCCUCCCCGAUGUCCUUUUUACCCAUUUUUUUUUAUUUUUAUCCUACCGUGUAUCCUCACCCAUGUUAUUAUACCCUCACAAAAUACAAAUAAAAAAAUAACAAAAUCCCUAACAAAACCUAUCCUAACUAAUUCUAUCUUAUCCUAACAACCUACCCAAUCAAAAUAAACCACCUCACUACCCCAUACCCUACCCGUACCCCACCCCACAUUUUUUUUUCUCAAAUCAACAACUCCUUAACAGAAUACACCAAGACACACGACAAAAAGAAAAUAAAACCAAAAGAGAAGGGGGGCCACUAACCCACACAAUAUUAUAUAUACAAAACAUAUAGAAACAAAAAAGGGGAGGGGGGGGGGGGGUAGGCAUUAAUAGUAACAAAAAAAGACGAUAGAAAAAAAGAAAAAAAACAGAGAGCACCUCUCAAAAAAUUUUUUUUUUUUUCUUUCUUCUUCACGCUAUAUACACCAUACGCACACAGUGAGAUGGGAGAAUAGAGUAGAUUGAGAGUGGGUAGCAAAGAGAUUGAGAAAGAGAGGAGAAUAGAGAGAGAUCGAAAAGAGAGUGAAGAGUUAAGCAACAAAGGGAAGCGAGAGAGUGAGAAAGAUUCUAGAGAGACGAUCUGAUAACGAAGGAGAGAAUCGGAAAGGGGUACUAUUCCGGCGAAUUUUGCUUGAGUAUGACCUGAAUCUGAUCUGCUUUCAUGGUUCUCGCCGUUGUCUGAGAUCGCCGGAUCUCCGGCGAUGUGAAACAGCAACCCCAACCCAAGUCGAUCCGAAUUUAAGCCAAUAAUCAGUUUUUUUUUAGGUUUUUCCGUUAAAACUCGCUGGAUCCUACUGUUGUUUGACGGAUUCAGACGCUGCCGGCUCGAAUUUCAGUCUUAUCCGUCUAAAAAUAAUAACCAGUAACCAAUUUCUAGUAGAAUCGGCUUGUUCGAAUUAUUUUUCCUACAAAAUCACAUUCGGGUUCGGUUCUUGUUGCGAUUUUUGUUUCGGACGCUGCAGUUGCUCUAUAUUCUGGGAACUGGAUUUUCUAUUCGUCUCAAUCGGUUUGGUCAGUUUUGGAUUUCAGUUCUGCGUUACCGAGUUGGAGUUGUUAUUGUUGAGGUUUUCUAUACAGGCUUUCGGAUUCGGGUUUUCUUAAAUAUUAUUAUCAACGAGAAUCGAUAUUCGGAAGGUUCAAUUCUAUCCUUGCUCUUCUCAAUUAUACGUAAUCAUGAAUAAUUUGCGUGUUUGGUAUGUUCGAAUAUGUGUUAUGUGUUGGUUGAUGUUGGUUUCAGAUUUUGAAAAGUGAAUUGAUAAAUCGAAGCAUGUGUUAAUCAUUGGUUGGGAAUGAAGUUGGGACGGGAAUCGAAAAAAUUGAUAAAAGUGAAUAUUAUGCUAUUUUGAUACAUUGUUGAUGUUGAAUGUGAUAUGCCGUCGAGCAGGUAGGCAAACAGUAAGCUCGGUAGGCAAGGUUAGAAUUGGUGCAGUGUUGGAAUGUUUGGAAUAUUUGUUGAAUGUUUUGUUUAUCGUAUUUGAAAAGUGUAUUAUUUAACCGGGGAAUGCCCCGAGGUAAUUUGUAUUUACUCACCGGGGAAUGCCCCGAAGAAUUUUGUACGCAAAGGAUGCUCGUGAUCAAGGCCUGAGGCAUCGGGUAAAGCAUAGUUUAGGACUAGUAUAGGUUAUUUCAGUAUUUUUAUUUCGGGUUGUAAUAAUUGGACUAGACUUUACAUUUUUGUUUGUUUUUAUUAUUGUUUGAUUAUUUUGCGUGUUUUUGUGUGGUUUGUACAUUUCGUAAUGCCAAAAUAGUUGUACACUCUACCCAAGCGACUGUGGUUGAACCAUGGGAUCGAGGGGUGCCUAACACCUUCCCCUCGGUCAAUAGAAUUUAUUAACCGGAAUCUCUGUUCGCAAACCAGUUUAAGAUUCAAAUGGUUUCGAAAAGGAUUUUCCAAAGGUGACUUGGCACACCGGAUUAUGCCAAGUGGCGACUUUGAAUAAAAAAUGCAAAUAAUCCUUUUCUAAAACAAAUUUUCAUUUCUUGUCACUUAAAUAAUAAAGCCCUUUCGAACUUUGAAAUAUAAAUUUUUUAGAGUACGUCAAAAAAGGGGUGUGACAGCUUCUGGCGACUCUGCUGGGGACUCAUGACAAGUUUUAAGAAUUUGAGCUAUUUUUGGAGUCGUAUCGGCUUUGUUUGGCAUUAUGAGUGUAUAAGCUUGUUUGUGAUUUUGUUUGGGUUAUUAUUUGCACCUUUGUGUGUUUUUCGUGCUCUUUGUUUAUAGUAUUAUCUUAUGUGUUACCGCUUUAUAUUUGGCAUCAUGAGUCCACCCCCCGGCCUUCUUUCCGCAAUAAGUCCGUAGUACACGUGUUGUACACAACCUCUAGUUGAGUCACCCUUAUUUUAGGGGAGGAGCCGUCGGUGUUAUGGAGUAGGUGGAAAGCAAAGCAGCCACUAUCGACUAUACGCUAUCCCGAACAGCCUUGUUAGCAAAACACAACGUAGGUCAGCCUUUAGAUCAUGCUUAUGUGCAUCAUACGGAGACCUAGCGGGACCCACAUAGCACUUUGGAGGAGACUCCCCUCUAAAGCAUCCCUAUGUGCUAACUGUUGCAUUUUUAAGGGUAACGUGGUCAUUUGACGGACUGAUUUUUUUUUUAAAAAAUAAAUUAUUAGGAGUAAGGUGCGUAGACAAAAACGAAAAAAAAAUAAUAUAGAAAAAGUGAGUCGAAAAGAAUGAAAAAAAAAGAGAGAAAAAGAGGAAUUUCGUAGUUUAUUUUAGAAUUCUUUAUGGCUUUUGUUCUUCACAAUCCAAAAACUCAAAAAGAUUUUUUUUAAGUUUUGCAUUUGUCUUCUCAAAAUAUCGUAAAAGCGAAAAAAAAAGUUUUGUUUGCCUUUUCUACUUAUUUGUCAAAAAAAAACAAAAAAAAAAUACCAAAAAAAAUUUUUCCUUCAUAAUUGGUGGUGUCAGUCUUAGCUGAAAAUCCAAAAGUUUUUUUUUUCGUUUGUUUUUGGUAGUGUCUCCUAAGUUAGGGUCAAUUUAUUAGUUAAUCGUUAAUUGUUCAAUCUGAAUGAACUACGCAUACCUGAUUCCCUUCCCUCGGGUUGGGAUACCUAGGCAACCCUCGGUGGGUCCGAUAAAUCUUUGUGUUGGCCUUUGUCUUAGUAUUAGCCUAGGUCUCCCGCCCUGUAAUCUAGAGUUGUUUGCUAAGUAGACUGAUUUCGCUCAGUACUUCUGUUUGACAAAUUGGAGUCAUGAAUAUGGGCUGUCCCAUCGACAUAUGUUGGCGUCAAAAAAUCCCAAGGGUUGGGAAUCUUCUACUCCUGUCGAAUUUUUGAGAUAACGUCUUGUGUGUUAUUACAGGAUAAAUUUGUCCACCAAGUCUAGAGUUCUGAUGGUUGUCAAGGUGCCUAAAAAGUUAAUCAAAUGGUGGGAAAUGUUUAACUAUGUUGAUCAGCAGAAACUGAUUAAAANNNNNNNNNNNNNNNNNNNNNNNNNNNNNNNNNNNNNNNNNNNNNNNNNNNNNNNNNNNNNNNNNNNNNNNNNNNNNNNNNNNNNNNNNNNNNNNNNNNNNNNNNNNNNNNNNNNNNNNNNNNNNNNNNNNNNNNNNNNNNNNNNNNNNNNNNNNNNNNNNNNNNNNNNNNNNNNNNNNNNNNNNNNNNNNNNNNNNNNNNNNNNNNNNNNNNNNNNNNNNNNNNNNNNNNNNNNNNNNNNNCCUCGGAAGGUUUUGAUUGCUUUUGGGAUGAAUUUCAUGUGACUAAGGAGAAGUGGGAAAGAAAGCGUCUUGAAGUCUUCACCCUCGCUUUGUUAGGUACUUUAGUGUUUCCACUAGAAGAAAGACGUAUUAAUACCCAUUUGCAAUCUGUGGUGAUGACCCUAUUUCAUAAGGAUCAAAACGACAAGGGCAUUAAUCAAAAGGAAAGGUUCACUUUCAUACCCAUGAUCUUAACAGAAAUAUAUAAGGCUUUAACCGAAGUGAAGGGGGAAGGAGAUUUUUUGAGGGCAAUAACCUGAUAUUACAGUUAUGGAUGAUGGAGCAUUUGUAUGCGCCUUCUUUAGUUAGACCAGACGUGUUAGAUCGUUGUAUUCCCAAUCGAGUGAAAGCCAUGGACUCCAGGAUGCGGUUGGAUAAAUUCUCGUUACCCGUGGGAGUCAAACGCUUGGAUUGAAUUUCUUGAGUCGAGAACUAGGGAUAACAUUUUGUAGACUUAUCUGUGGCUUCGACCAAAGGUAGUAUUGUUGGGUUUUCAGACAUAGUUCCCUUUAGUUAUGUUAGGGCUCAAUUGCACUAGACCAUACAGUCCUUCUAGGGUAAUGCGCCAAUUGGGUAGGCUGUAGGGCGUGCCUCCAGCAGUGGAUCUUCUGAAGGAUGUUGAGUACUUUAAGGACCAAGCCUUAGGUGAGAGUAAGUACGAGCAGUUUUGGAAGCAUGCCACAAAGCUAGGUGUGGACACACUCAAAGAAAGUUUGGAUAAUCCGGGGUACACUCAGGGAUAUGGGGUCUGGCUUCAAUCUAUCCCUCGGGGUAUCAGUCAACCCUUACCAGCUCAGCUCAGAGGGAGAAUACAGGAAGGAUGCAUAAUAGACGACCAUCAGGAUGAAAGUGUAGGGUCCAAAGUGGAAACACUGAGAGUUCAGUUAGCAGAUUUGUUCAAGACAAUAGAAAGGUGUCAGAAAAAUCUUUCCAAGUGCACUCCUCAUGAAGCAGGAAUACGGGCCCGAAGCUUCUUCCUCGGUAUCAGGGAGUCUUUACAGGGUAUGCUACAAAGUUUAAAUGGGAGAAAGAGAACUUCAGAGGCAAGUCCAUAUCAGCCAGGGUCACCACGCAGAGCACCAGUCUGAAAGAGCACUUCUUAUCUUUAUUUAGUUUGAGUCUUUUAUGUGUCUGUCAUUGUAGGGUGGUGUCUGCUUUAAGUCAAAAUCAAGUUGUUUUUGGUAUUAGAGUCUUUAUUUGUAAUUUCACCUAUGUCGUCUUAGGGGUCUAUAAUUUUGUUUCGUAUUUGUUGUUUAGUUUUAAAGUUGUCCCAAACUUUUGUACGUUUUUGUUAUUUUCUUUCUUCAAAAUGUUAUGAUGUUACAUCUUUCCUUGGUUUGUUUAUUUUUGUUUUAGGAAAAAAAAAAGAAAAGAAAAGAAAAGAGAAAAAGAAAAAAAAGGGUAAUGUUUAUGCAAGACUGCCCGAAUACGCAAGAUCUGAUUCAUGUACAACAUGAUACGUAGGCAACCUACUUUUGGGUUCGAUCUAAUCAUUUUGUUUUGUUGUUUUUCAUUAUUUUUCCUCUUUUAAAGAAAAACAAAAGCCAUAAAGAAUGAUAAAAUAAAGGUAGAUAACGAGAGAAAAGAAAAGAGCAGAGAUGGAUACGAAAAAAUAUAAUAAGUGUAGACAAAAAUCAGGAUGAUGUUAAAAUGACCUCGCUACCCUCAAAAGCUGGUAGAAAUGAACAUGAAUUUAGGACAAUUUUNNNNNNNNNNNNNNNNNNNNNNNNNNNNNNNNNNNNNNNNNNNNNNNNNNNNNNNNNNNNNNNNNNNNNNNNNNNNNNNNNNNNNNNNNNNNNNNNNNNNNNNNNNNNNNNNNNNNNNNNNNNNNNNNNNNNNNNNNNNNNNNNNNNNNNNNNNNNNNNNNNNNNNNNNNNNNNNNNNNNNNNNNNNNNNNNNNNNNNNNNNNNNNNNNNNNNNNNNNNNNNNNNNNNNNNNNNNNNNNNNNNNNNNNNNNNNNNNNNNNNNNNNNNNNNNNNNNNNNNNNNNNNNNNNNNNNNNNNNNNNNNNNNNNNNNNNNNNNNNNNNNNNNNNNNNNNNNNNNNNNNNNNNNNNNNNNNNNNNNNNNNNNNNNNNNNNNNNNNNNNNNNNNNNNNNNNNNNNNNNNNNNNNNNNNNNNNNNNNNNNNNNNNNNNNNNNNNNNNNNNNNNNNNNNNNNNNNNNNNNNNNNNNNNNNNNNNNNNNNNNNNNNNNNNNNNNNNNNNNNNNNNNNNNNNNNNNNNNNNNNNNNNNNNNNNNNNNNNNNNNNNNNNNNNNNNNNNNNNNNNNNNNNNNNNNNNNNNNNNNNNNNNNNNNNNNNNNNNNNNNNNNNNNNNNNNNNNNNNNNNNNNNNNNNNNNNNNNNNNNNNNNNNNNNNNNNNNNNNNNNNGCUCCCUGAAGGUCUUGGGAAUAUCUCUAAUUGCCCAACGCUCUCUCAGGCGCAAUUCUCUGCUCCUACUGAGUCACCUGAGCACGCGCCAAGAUUCACUCCGCGACAUUAUUAUCCUGGUAGUUCUGGUAUGCCCUUGGCAGCUCCCCAAUCAAGACCAGCUGCUCAGCCAGCGCCACCAAUCACACCGGUAUUCGUGGCUCCGCCACCACAUAAAACUCCCAUAUAUGUUGCGCGUCCCACGAUGAGGCUUCCCAGGUCUGCCAGUGAGCCAGUACUGAAGGUUUCAGAUGGUUAGUAUUAUGCCCGGAGCCUACUUUACAAAUGAAUGAACCGUAUGGGUACACUCACCCACCUGCAUUUCUAUUUGAUACGGAGAAACCUAUCGCAGCAGAGGAACAAGAUAUCAUAGCCCGGAAACUGAAGAGUUUAGAGCAGGCUAUGAGGAAUUUGCAAGGGAUCAGAGAUUAUAGGAGUGUUUCCUAUAAAGAUCUUUGCAUGUUCCCAGACAUCAAUCUUCCCCCCGAUUUUAAGAUGCCUAAGUUCGACAAGUAUGCAGGACACGGUGAUCCCGUUGCACAAUUGAGACGUUAUUGCAACCAGUUGAGGGCUGCAGGAGGGAAGGAAAAACUGAUCAUGGCCUUCUUUGGCGAGAGUCUUUCAGAUCUGGCCUCAGAAUGAUUUAUCGAUCGAGAUAUCGAUAAAUGGAACAGCUGGGAUGAUUUGGCUUCUGAAUUUGUUCAACAUUUUCAGUACAACAUCGACCUGAUUCUAGACGAAAAAUCCUUGGUCAACAUGAAGAAAAAGAGCACUAAAGGUUUUAGGGAAUACGCGAUAAGGUGGCGUGAACAGGCCGCCAGGGUAAAGCCUCCAAUGAAAGAAAGUAAGUUGGUAGAAGUUUUCAUUCAGGUGCAGGAUGAGACCUAUUUUCAACAUUUACUACCGAGAAUGGGAAAGUCUUUUAUGGAAGUCCUUAAAAUGGGGGAGAUGAUAGAGAACGGAAUUAAGACCGGCCGAAUAGUGAGUUUUGCCGCAUUAAAAGCCACCACACAAGCGAUUCAAGGUAGAUCUGGCGCAUUUGGAGGUAAAAAGAAGAAAGAGGAUGUGGCGACUAUCGUAGCUGGAAUCCAUUCCUAUCCCAAAAGACCACCUCGCCCCUAUCCCCAAUCCCAAGCCCAAGUCUACGCCCAAGCUUCAUAUAUUCCUCCCCACCAUUACUACCCUCCACAAAACCCUUUAUAUUCUAUUUCGCCACCCCCAUACCCAGUAUAUAGCGCACAGUCAUAUGCCCAAACCUCUUCUUACCUGCAUUGGCGCGCGCAAGCUCCACAAAAUCGCCCAUUCGCUCUACCAAAUUACCAAAACCCCUCCAGACCCAGUUUUCAGCCUAGGCCCGAGUAUAAAAAAGAAAAGGCGGUCAAAAAUCAAUUCACACCUCUUGGGGAGUCGUAUGCUAGAUUGUUUGAUAGGUUGAGAAAGUUGAAGGUUUUAAGCCAAUUCAAGAAAGGCUUUCAAAUCCACCGCCGAGGAAUCUCGAUUAUUCUUUAAGGUGUGCGUACUGUUCUGAUAUGCCAGGCCAUGAUAUCGAGAAAUGCUGGCAUUUAAAGAGAGCUGUCCAAGAUUUAAUUGACAUAAAUCAGAUGUUGGUCCAGGCCCCAGAAGGUCCAAACAUUAACUAGAAUCCGUUGCCAACCCAUUCUGAAGCCAAUAUAUUAGAAUUGAUAUAUGACGGGAAAGAUUCUUCGAGGGGUUAUAAGCCUAUUGUCAAGAUACAGACCAUUGAGGAGAAAUCGGUAAAUGUAGCGGAGUCUUUGAAAGCAAUGUCAUUAAACCGGGAAGGAAUGAAAGAAGAUAAAGCCCUAGAAAGCACAAAGAAGCCCCUGAUCAUAGUACAAGGCGCCAGAAGGUAUGUUGAUUUAAGUCAGGAUAAACCUAAGUUGACAGUGGUGGGAGCUCUGAGUCAGCCCAUCUUGACGGUGAAAGGAGCACUNNNNNNNNNNNNNNNNNNNNNNNNNNNNNNNNNNNNNNNNNNNNNNNNNNNNNNNNNNNNNNNNNNNNNNNNNNNNNNNNNNNNNNNNNNNNNNNNNNNNNNNNNNNNNNNNNNNNNNNNNNNNNNNNNNNNNNNNNNNNNNNNNNNNNNNNNNNNNNNNNNNNNNNNNNNNNNNNNNNNNNNNNNNNNNNNNNNNNNNNNNNNNNNNNNNNNNNNNNNNNNNNNNNNNNNNNNNNNNNNNNNNNNNNNNNNNNNNNNNNNNNNNNNNNNNNNNNNNNNNNNNNNNNNNNNNNNNNNNNNNNNNNNNNNNNNNNNNNNNNNNNNNNNNNNNNNNNNNNNNNNNNNNNNNNNNNNNNNNNNNNNNNNNNNNNNNNNNNNNNNNNNNNNNNNNNNNNNNNNNNNNNNNNNNNNNNNNNNNNNNNNNNNNNNNNNNNNNNNNNNNNNNNNNNNNNNNNNNNNNNNNNNNNNNNNNNNNNNNNNNNNNNNNNNNNNNNNNNNNNNNNNNNNNNNNNNNNNNNNNNNNNNNNNNNNNNNNNNNNNNNNNNNNNNNNNNNNNNNNNNNNNNNNNNNNNNNNNNNNNNNNNNNNNNNNNNNNNNNNNNNNNNNNNNNNAGGGCCUGUUGAGUUCGCCAUAGAGUUUCAAGUAUUGAAUGUAAACUCCUCUUACAAUCUGUUGUUGGGAAGGUCGUGGAUUCACAAGGCCAAGGCGGUUGCAUUUACACUGCACCAAAUGAUUAAGUUUGAGCAUGACAGGCAAGAAGUGGUUAUUCACAGUGAAGGAGAUUUGCCCGCCUGGAAAGAUUCUCCCUUGUCUCUUAUUGAAGCAAAUAACGUAGAAGAGACAUUCGUUUAUCAAAUUUUUGAUACAGUGCUAGUGAGUCGUAUCCUUGAAUGGCAGGUUAUACCGGGACCGCAAUUGUCUUUUGCUUCUAUCAUGAUGGUGAGUGAACUUUGGAAAUACGGAUUUGAGCUGGGAAAGGGUUUGGGAGCGUCUCUACAUGGUAUAGUUCAUCCCAUAUGUCUGAGUGAUAACGUGGGCACGUUUGGUCUAGGAUUUGAGCCUACGGCUGAAGAUCUGAAGAAAGCUAAGGGAAGGAAAAAGGAAACAUCGUCACUCCCUCGCCCAAUGCCGCUACUCAGUGAAUCAUUUGUUAAGAGCGGUGUCACGAAGCAUGUGGAAUUUGAAGUUGAAUGGGUUGAUGACUGUUAGAACCUUUUUAUUGAAGUUGAUAUGGUCGAAGCAGGAGAAGGCACCAGUAUAGCAGACGUGCAAUUCAUAGGUCCAACUGUCCAGCUAAAUAAUUGGGAAGUCACUCCUCUCCCCAUUAGGAGGGAGUUUUAGUAGUUUAUUUUGUUUUUUUUUUGUCUAUCCGAGUUAUUUCAGGGUUGUAAUUCGGAUUUUAGUUUGUUUAUGUUAUGUUGGCAUCUGUGUUUAAACCCUUCUAUCUUUUAUUUAAUGAAAUACAAUGUCCCUUUUGUUUUGUGUCUAAUAUAUUUUGUUUUUCUUUUCUUACACAGUUCUCUUUAUGCUGAUUCUAAUGACAUGACAUGCAUGUGGAAUUUUCAGCCUAAUCUUAAAAUCCAAACUAAUCAAGAUGUAAUGAAGAAGGAUGGGGAAUAUGAGGAAGAAAAAGCACUAGAAGAAAUAAGCAAAGAGUUGGAACAGUUUGAAGACAAACCGAAUCCUAAUUUGAAUGAGACUGAGCCAAUAAAUCUAGGGGAUCAAGAAGAUGUUAGGGAAACUAAAAUCAAUGUACAUGUUUUGCCAUAGAUAAAGAUGGAAUGAUUCAAGCAUUAAUUGAUUANNNNNNNNNNNNNNNNNNNNNNNNNNNNNNNNNNNNNNNNNNNNNNNNNNNNNNNNNNNNNNNNNNNNNNNNNNNNNNNNNNNNNNNNNNNNNNNNNNNNNNNNNNNNNNNNNNNNNNNNNNNNNNNNNNNNNNNNNNNNNNNNNNNNNNNNNNNNNNNNNNNNNNNNNNNNNNNNNNNNNNNNNNNNNNNNNNNNNNNNNNNNNNNNNNNNNNNNNNNNNNNNNNNNNNNNNNNNNNNNNNNNNNNNNNNNNNNNNNNNNNNNNNNNNNNNNNNNNNNNNNNNNNNNNNNNNNNNNNNNNNNNNNNNNNNNNNNNNNNNNNNNNNNNNNNNNNNNNNNNNNNNNNNNNNNNNNNNNNNNNNNNNNNNNNNNNNNNNNNNNNNNNNNNNNNNNNNNNNNNNNNNNNNNNNNNNNNNNNNNNNNNNNNNNNNNNNNNNNNNNNNNNNNNNNNNNNNNNNNNNNNNNNNNNNNNNNNNNNNNNNNNNNNNNNNNNNNNNNNNNNNNNNNNNNNNNNNNNNNNNNNNNNNNNNNNNNNNNNNNNNNNNNNNNNNNNNNNNNNNNNNNNNNNNNNNNNNNNNNNNNNNNNNNNNNNNNNNNNNNNNNNNNNNNNNNNNNNNNNNNNNNNNNNNNNNNNNNNNNNNNNNNNNNNNNNNNNNNNNNNNNNNNNNNNNNNNNNNNNNNNNNNNNNNNNNNNNNNNNNNNNNNNNNNNNNNNNNNNNNNNNNNNNNNNNNNNNNNNNNNNNNNNNNNNNNNNNNNNNNNNNNNNNNNNNNNNNNNNNNNNNNNNNNNNNNNNNNNNNNNNNNNNNNNNNNNNNNNNNNNNNNNNNNNNNNNNNNNNNNNNNNNNNNNNNNNNNNNNNNNNNNNNNNNNNNNNNNNNNNNNNNNNNNNNNNNNNNNNNNNNNNNNNNNNNNNNNNNNNNNNNNNNNNNNNNNNNNNNNNNNNNNNNNNNNNNNNNNNNNNNNNNNNNNNNNNNNNNNNNNNNNNNNNNNNNNNNNNNNNNNNNNNNNNNNNNNNNNNNNNNNNNNNNNNNNNNNNNNNNNNNNNNNNNNNNNNNNNNNNNNNNNNNNNNNNNNNNNNNNNNNNNNNNNNNNNNNNNNNNNNNNNNNNNNNNNNNNNNNNNNNNNNNNNNNNNNNNNNNNNNNNNNNNNNNNNNNNNNNNNNNNNNNNNNNNNNNNNNNNNNNNNNNNNNNNNNNNNNNNNNNNNNNNNNNNNNNNNNNNNNNNNNNNNNNNNNNNNNNNNNNNNNNNNNNNNNNNNNNNNNNNNNNNNNNNNNNNNNNNUUAGGUUCAGUUCCCAUCUCUGAAUUGGGACAACAUUUCCCGGUAACAACACAACUUCGAUUCUACUGUACUAAUAAUAUGGCAGAGUAUGAAGCCUGCAUUCUUAGUUUGAGGUUAGCUGUUGAUAUGGGAGUCUAGGAAUUAUUAGUGUUGGGAGAUUCGGAUUUGCUCGUCCAUUAAAUUCGAGGCGAUUGGGAGACGCGAGAUUUGAAGUUCAUCCCGUAUCGAUAAUGCUUGCAGGAGCUAUGUCAACGGUUUGUGUUAGUAAAAUUUAGGCAUAUUCUAAGGAUUCAUAAUGAAAUUGCUGAUGCUUUAGCCGCUCUGUCUUCAAUGCUCCAACAUCCUGAAAAAUCUUACAUCAAUCCAGUGCAUAUACAAAGUCGUAAUCAACAUGCCUACUGUAAUGCGGUUGAAGAAGAGAUCGAUGGAGAACCCUGGUUCUUGGAUAUCAAGCGGUACAUUCAGUCAGGAGAAUACCCAGCAUAUGCCACCAACGAUCAAAAGAGGACUAUUAGGCGUUUGGCUAGUGGAUUUUUCUUUAGUGGGGGGAUUUUGUAUAAGAGGACCCCAGAUCUGGGACUUUUAAGGUGUGUAGAUGCAAAAGAAGCCUCAAAAAUCAUGGUUGAAAUACACUCUGGAGUAUGCGGGUCGCAUAUGAACAAUCAUGUCUUGUCAAAGAAGAUUCUUCGAGCAGGUUAUUACUAGCUUACUAUGGAAAGGGAUUCUAUUCAAUUUGUUUGAAAGUGUCAUCAAUGUCAGGUACACGGUGAUCUGAUACGAUCUCCUUCUAUUGAGUUGCAUGCAAGGGAUGAUCCAUGGCCGUUCGUGGCUUGAGGAAUGGAAGUGAUAGGACCGAUUGAGCCGAAAGGCAUCAAAUGGGCAUAGAUUCAUUUUGGUAGCCAUUAACUACUUCACAAAGUGGGUAGAAGCAGUAAUUUUCAAGCCAGUGACAAAGAAGGCUGUGGUAGAUUUUGUUCAUCCUAAUAUCAUUUGUAGAUUUGGAAUUCCUAAGAUGAUCAUUACAGACAAUGCUGCCAAUCUCAAUAGUCAUUUGAUGCAAGAAGUAUGUCAACAAUUUAAGAUCGCACAUCAAAAUUCUACUCCGUAUCUCCGAAAGGCCAAUGGGCUGCAGAAGCUGCCAAUAAGAAUAUAAAAAAGAUACUGAGAAAAAUGGUACAAGGGUCUAGACAGUGGCAUGAAAAGUUGUCGUUUGCAUUGCUAGGUUAUCGCACCACUGUUCGCACUUCAACAGGGGCAACUCCAUAUUUAUUAGUGUAUGGGACAGAAGCAGUCAUCCCUGCAGAAGUUGAAAUUCCCUCUCUUCGAGUCAUUAUAGAAGCAGAGAUUGAUGAUGACGAAUGGGUAAAAACCCAACUGGAACAUUUGAGNNNNNNNNNNNNNNNNNNNNNNNNNNNNNNNNNNNNNNNNNNNNNNNNNNNNNNNNNNNNNNNNNNNNNNNNNNNNNNNNNNNNNNNNNNNNNNNNNNNNNNNNNNNNNNNNNNNNNNNNNNNNNNNNNNNNNNNNNNNNNNNNNNNNNUUCUCCCCUAACUGGCAAGGUCCCUUCGUUGUGAAGAAAGUGUUGCCCAAUGGAGCCUUAUAUUUGACAGAUAUUGAAGGCAAAAUGGCAGAAAUGGCUAUCAAUGCUGAUGCGGUCAAAAGAUAUUAUGUAUGAUAUUUGAUCCUUUUUUGAUUUUAUUGCAUGUUUAGUACUUGCAUUUUUAAAGAUUGAUAUGAUGAAGGCAUUUUAUUCUUCUAUCCAAACAUUGUGUCAUCCCUUGUUUACCCGUUUGAGCUUCGUUUAAUUUUCUUUCAUAUCCCUCUUUUGGAAUCAAAAUAGAGUCAAAGAUAAAUAUUAAGAAAAUAAAAAUAAAAGAAAGAGUUCGAAAAUAAAAUAAAAAAUCAAAUCAAAACAAAGAACAAACUGAUGGAACUACGUCCGACCUGAUUCUCCUCCCUCGGAAGUGAGAUACAUAGGCUGCCCUAUUUCGGGCUCGGUCCAACCAAAUAAAGAUUUAAGAUUCACCCAGUCAACAAAGAUGGGGCAUGAGUUUAUGUGUUGUUUGAGUCGAUUCCAAAAGUUGUAAGUCCCACCUCCACUUCAAGUAUCGUUUAAGCCUCUUACCAUCUUUUCUACCCUUAACCAAAAGCCAAGUUACAACCAAAGAAAGUUCUUCAGAUCAAUUUUUGAUAAUGUUAAGGCUAAGCAUGCAAUGGAUAUGAUAAUACAUUGUGAAGUACCACUUGUCUCUCUCAGCAUAAGAAAUCAGGAAAGAAAUAUAAAAAUGAGAGAGUCUUAUUGGUGAAAACCCCUGUGGGCAUCAUAAAGCGAUGGUGAGUUGAGAGAAAAUGAAAAUGAGAGAGUCUUAUUGGUGAAAACCCCUGUGGGCAUCAUAAAGCGAUGGUGAGUUGAGAGAAAAUGAAAAUGAGAGAGUCUUAUUGGUGAAAACCUUUGCAGGCACCAUAAGGCGAUGGUGAGUGGAGAGAAAUAAAAAUGAGAAAGUCUUAUUGGUGAAAACCCUCACGGGCACCGUAAGGCGAUGGCGAGUUCAAGAGAAAAGUGAAAAGUCAGAAGAAAGAGAUUUGUUGGCGAAAGCCUUUUAAGAUGUCGUCAAUCGAAUGUGAUGUAUGAGUCCAAUGGAUUUGAAGAAGCGGCUCAGCGGCAAAAGGUACGAACACAACAACAAAUGGGGAGUUUGGAUAGGAAGAUCAGGCAGCUCAAUCCAAAAUGCAUGUCAUACUCAUUGGAGUUGGUUGUCGUAUUCAGAUAAGUUUUCUUUUUGAAUAUGGGACAUUGCCCUUUUCUUUCAUUUACAUAUUCAUGCUUUUUGUCUUUUUAUGUCAUUUAUCAAAAUAAAAGUCACCAUCAUUUCUUUACAUUUUAAGUCAAGUCUGUGUCAAAACAAGCGAGAAAGGAUUUCAAAAUUUACUACCAGUCUUUCCAAUUAUAUGANNNNNNNNNNNNNNNNNNNNNNNNNNNNNNNNNNNNNNNNNNNNNNNNNNNNNNNNNNNNNNNNNNNNNNNNNNNNNNNNNNNNNNNNNNNNNNNNNNNNNNNNNNNNNNNNNNNNNNNNNNNNNNNNNNNNNNNNNNNNNNNNNNNNNNNNNNNNNNNNNNNNNNNNNNNNNNNNNNNNNNNNNNNNNNNNNNNNNNNNNNNNNNNNNNNNNNNNNNNNNNNNNNNNNNNNNNNNNNNNNNNNNNNNNNNNNNNNNNNNNNNNNNNNNNNNNNNNNNNNNNNNNNNNNNNNNNNNNNNNNNNNNNNNNNNNNNNNNNNNNNNNNNNNNNNNNNNNNNNNNNNNNNNNNNNNNNNNNNNNNNNNNNNNNNNNNNNNNNNNNNNNNNNNNNNNNNNNNNNNNNNNNNNNNNNNNUUUACUUUCUGUUCAGGACCCUCCUGAAAAAUGGGGUUUUACUUUCUGUUCAGGACCCUCCUGAAAAAUGGGGUUUUACUUUCUGUUCAGGACCCUCCUGAAAAAUGAGAUUUUACUUUCUAUUCAGGACCCUCCUAAAAAAUGGGAUUUUACUUUAUGUUCAAGACCCUCUUGAAAAAUGAGAAUUUACUUUAUGUCAGGACCCUCCUGAAAAAUGGGAUUUUACUUUCUGUUCAGGACCCUCCUGGAAAAUGGGACAACGCUUUCAAAAAUGAAAUACUAAUUUAGUAUAAUUCUUGUUUGGGAUAAUUUUUGUUCUAGUUUUAAUUUUGGGUUUCAGGAGCCCGCCUGAAGAACAGGGUGAUGAAAUAACAAGUCAGAGGCCCGCUUGGAGAACAGAGUGAAGAAAGGAAAGUUAAGCAACAAAGUGAUGGAAUAACAAGUCAGGAACCCGCUUGGAGAAUAGGGUAAAGAAAUGAAAAGUCCAACAACAAAGCGAAGCAAUCGAAAGCCAAGCAACAAGUUGAAAGAAAUUGCAAGUCAGGAGCCCGCCUGAAGAAUAGGGUGAUGAAAGUCGAGUCAAGAACCAAUAGAAGUUGUAUAGAUAGGAUUUUUGUAAUUUCAUUUAUGCUUUAGCUUGUAAUUUUCAUUUUUUGAUGUAAUGACAGAGCCGUGGACCGGAGCCUCGAUGGAACCUCACUCGACUCUCCUACUCGGUAUAGUCCACUUCUCUUCCAAUCCUCUGAAAUACCCGUGACUUGAUUCUCUCAUAAUUUGGGUAGGAAGGAUGUCUUAAGUCAAGACCCGAUGGUCUUUCUUCCUUCUGUUUCUUUCUUUGAAUAAUGGUCGGGUCAAAAUUUGGUCUCGCUUCCUACUUCUUUGCCUGAAAACACUUCGUGUUUACAUCCAAAGGGGGGCAUGAUGUAGACACCUAAUUUCGUCCCUCCCCGAUGUCGUUUUACCCAUUUUUUAUUUUUAUCCUACCGUGUACCCUCACCCAUGUUAUUAUACCCUCAUAAAAUACAAAAAAAUAUAUAUAUAUAUAUAACAAAAUCCCUAACAAAACCUAUCCUAACUAAUUCUAUCUUAUCCUAACAACCUACCCAAUCAAAAUAAACCACAUCACACCCUAUCCCCACCUCACCACCCCACACCCUACCCCUUACCCCUACCUGGGUGUACCCACUGCCCCACCCACUCUCACAAUACACACUACAAAAAAGAGGACCAGUAACAGAAAAAGAGGACAGACAUAUCAUUCUCCUUUUGGGUUCCUCUCAAAGAACAAUAUAGAAGAACCCUUUUUUUUUUCUUAUUCCAGAAUUCAUUUUUUUCUUCACGAUAUACUCCCUCACGAACACAUACUUCACUCACUGGCCAUCCACACACAACAGUGAAAUUGGGGUUGAUUUAGAAGGGAAACACAGAUCGUAGAGAGAGGGAGAAAGGAGUAAAGAGCUGAAAUCAAUCGAGAAGGAGAGAAAAGGCGUUGGGUUUGACUAUUUCCGGUGAGUUCCUCAUUGAAGAUCGAUCGGGAUCACCACUGUAGCUAUCGUACAGUCACUGGAAAAUGCACUACACAUACUCAAGCACACACACGCACACGGGAAUGGGUGCCAAGUACAGUGAGAUCGAGUAAAAAGUGAGAAAUUGGAGAGAGGCAAUAGUUUGAGAUCGAGAGAGAGUCAAACAAGGGUCGAAUCGAAAAAAAGGUGGACGGAAAUCGCUAAGAAUCAGGUGGGUUUCAGUUUUUCUGGUGAUCUCCUCGCUGGAACUGUCUGUUUCUAACGACUCUAACUGAAAAACAUCCAAAGUCGUCAGAGAUCUGACCCUUUUUUGUCAAUUCCUGUCCAUCAUUGACCUCGCCGGAGCUCCUAUUUGGUAUUGAUUUGCAGUCUUCUGUUGGAUUGCGAGGAUUUUGGGUUCAUUUUAUCGUGAAUCAUCUUUCGAUAUUCUAUUGGAUUGCGGGGAUUUUGUGUUCGCCGUUUGUUGUUCUGGCUUCGGGAUUUGGUUUUCUAUCCAUUUCGACUAGUUUUGGGUUUCAAAGUCCUUGAUAUCGAAGUUGGGAUGCAUCACUAUUGAGGUUCUGUUCUGAGUUCUGAAGUUUGGUUCUUCGUUAAUAUUGUUACCAACCGAAAUCGAUUAUCGGAAGGUCCAUUUCUUUAACUCAUUCUCUCUUCUUUAUCGUAAUUUGCUGCAUUGGGCAUGUUUGAAAUUGGAUGAGUUGGUGAAUGUUUCAUGUUAUUUCACGUGAAAUUCGUAUGAUUAUCAUGCUUUAAUUGUCGUUGAAUCUAUGUUGUUUAUAUUGAAUUCCUAGUUAAAAAUUUGAGUUGAUAGGCAAAGCAUGUGUUAAUAUUUGGUUGGAAAAGGAUUUCGGGGUGAGAAUAAAAAGUUGUUAAAAGUUGAAUGUAGUUAAAUUUUGGACCGUUGUCGUUUUAUUUAAUUCGGAUUAAGCAUGAAUUUGAUAGAAUCAUUUUAACUCAAAAGCGGAGAGGCAAUAUAGGCUCGGGUAGGCAAAUUUUAAAAAUUGUUAUUUUGGUUAAAUGUUAGAAUGUGCGUGUGAAUGUUUCUUUCUAGCUUAUCGUAUUCAAUUCAAUUGUAUAAUUUGGCCGGGGAAUGUCCCGAAGUAUCUGUAUAUAUUUAUUCAUCGGGGAAUGCCCCGACGUAUCAUGUUUGGUGAAAAAUGAUCGUGAUGAAGGCCCGCGAAAUCGGGUAAGGCAUUGGAGCGUAUUCUAGAUUUAGUUUAGAAUAGGAUUUAUAUUUUCUAUUUUGGGCUGUAUAAUUGGACUGGACUUUAUGUUUUGGAUUAUUUUGUUUUUGUUUGCUUGAGUGAUUAGUUUUUAUGUGCUUUGUGUGGUUUAUGCAUUUGUAACGUCAAUUUAGCCGAUACGCUCGGCCAAGCGACCGUGGUCAAACCACGGGAUCGAGGGGUGCCUAACACCUUCCCCUCGGUCAACAAAAUUCCUUAGCCGGAAUCUCUGUUCGCAAACCGGUUUAAGUGUCAAAUGGUUUCGAAAAGGAUUUUCCAAAGGUGACUUGGCACACCGAAUUAUGUUAAGUGGCGACUCUAAAUAAAAAAAAUAUAUAUAUAUAAAUAAUUCUUUUCCGAAACAAAUUUUCAUUCCUUGUCACUUAAAUAAUAAAACCCUUUUGGACUUUAAACGAAAUCUCUUUUUUUGGAGUACGUUUAGAUAGGGGGUGUGACAAUAGGACUUCUUCAACUCCAAAAGCAAGUGAGUAUGGGGUUGCUUGCAUCGGUGUACGAUAAGUCGUCCUAUACGCCCAUAAAGCUUCUUCCAUUCGCUCAUGCCAGUCUCGUUUGGAUUUGGAGAUGACUUUCUUCAAUAAGUUGCAUAAAGUCUUAUUGAGUGCUUCGGCUAGACCAUUGGCGGCAAAAUGAUACAUAAAAGACUUGCGCUGCUUGAAACCAAAGAGAUCACAUAUUUUGUUCAUCAGCUUUUUUCAAAUGGCUUUCCAUUAUCAGUUAUUAUAUACUGAGGAAUUCCAAAGCGGUAUACGAUAUUCACUCGGAUGAAGUUCGCAACAUUCUUUUUCUUUACUUCCUUAAGAGCAACAGCUUCGGCCUAUUUGGAGAAGUAAUCUCUCACGGCCAAGAUGUAUAGGUGUCCACCAGAAGAUUUUGGUAGUGGACCAACAGCAUACAUUCCCCAAGCAUUGAACGACCAAGAUGCUAUAGUUGGGUGUAGUACCUCUAGAGGUUGAUGUAUGAAAUUUGUAUGGAAUUGGCAAACUUUUCAUCUUCUAGCAUGGUCUAAGCAAUCUUUCACUAUCGUUGGCCAAUAAUAUCCCAUCCUUUUAAUGUGGAAAUAGAGCUUCGGUCCAGACUGAUGUGAUCUACAAACUCCCGAGUGCGCUUCUUGCAAAGCUUAAAUUGCUUUUUUCUCUCCCAAACACCGUAAGAGUAUUCCUUCAAAUGAUCUUCUGUACAGUGUGUCUUUGUAGUAAAGGAAGUGAGGUGCACGAUGACAAAUGUCAGUCUUUCUCCUUGGAUUUUCUGGAAGUAUCCCAUAACAUAAGUAAUCAAUAAUAGGUUGUCGCCAAUCUUCUUUUAAAACUUCAAACACGGCAACGAGGUAUUCAACUUUAUUUUCCACAUCCUCAUCUGACGGCGGUACUACCCAUUCUUGGUGAACAGUAACUUGGGUCUGAUUUGGAAGAGUUAGGGUUGAGGCCAGAGCAGCUAGGGCAUCAACUUGCUUAUUUUCUCUUCUUAGCACAUGUUGAAGAGUUACUCCUCCAAGCCACCCCAUCAACUUCUGUACAUAAUCAUGAUAUGGUUGUAGCUCAGGCUUUCUGACUUCAUAGCUUUCCAAAAGUUGCUUGAUCACCAAUUGGGAGUCACUAAAGACUUGUAAUUGCAGUUGUUUCAUGUCAACUGCCAUCUCAAGUCCAAGUAUUAAAGUUUGAUAUUCAACAACAUUAUUAGAGCAACGAUUUGCUAGGGUAAAAGAGUAUGGGAUUACCUCUUCUUGUGGAGGGACGAACACCACACUGGCACCAGCUCCAUCUCGAUGUGCGGCACUAUCAAAGUACAUCUUCCAUAGGGGUCUAGCUUCAAUGACCAUUGCAUCUUCAUCAGGAAAUUUAUCGCUCAGUUCCCAAUCAUUAGGUAUCGGGUGGUCUGCCAAGAAUUCAGCCAGUGCUUGUCCUUUUACAGCCAUUUGAGAAAUAUACACAAUCUCAAACUGCUAAAAUUGAAGGUACCAUCCUGCAAGUCGAUCACUAAGGACUGGUUUCGACAUUACAAACUUGAUGGGAUUUGCCCUAGACACAAGAUGGACAACAUGAGCUUGAAAGUAGUGUUUCAUAUUUUGAAUUAAGAAGGCCAAUGCCAAACAUAACUUUUUAAUUGGAGAAUAUUUUAUCUCAUUCGGCGUCAUCAUUCUGCUCAAAUAGUAAAGAGAGUUUUCAUUUCCUUCACUAUUUUCUUAAGCCAGUAGUGCUCCAACUGACCUCUGUUGUGCUGCGAUGUAAAGUAUCAAUGGUUUCCCAGGUAUGGGUGCCGCAAGAACUGGUGGCUUCAUUAAGUAUGAUUUGAUACUCUUAAAGGCAUUACUACAAGCUUGGUCCCAUUCGAAGGGAGUGUCCUUCUUCAUGAGACGACUAAAUGGUUGAUAUUUUUCAGCCAUAUUUGAGAUAAACCUCCUUAAAUAUGCUAGCCUUCCCUGAAGGCUUUUUAACUCAUGAAUAUUUCGAGGCUCAGGCAUCUUCAAAAUCCGAUCGACCUUGUCUUGAUCAAUUUCAAUUCCCCGGUGUCUUACAAUGAAGCCAAGAAACUUUCUGAAAGUAAUUCCAAAGGCACACUUCAACAAAUUCAUUCUAAGUUGAUAUCUUCGAAGUAACUCAAAUACCAUUCUUAGGUCCUUUAAGUGGUGGUCUCUCUUUAUUGACUUCACCACUAGGUCAUCCACGUAGCAUUCAAUAUUUUUAUGUAGCAGGACAUUAAAGAUGUUCUGCAUAGCCCUUUGAUAAGUGGUGCCAGCGUUCUUCAAACCAAAAGGCAUUACUUUGUAGCAAUAAAUACCUUUGGGCGUACGAAAUGCAAUGAGUUCUUCAUCCUUUGGUGACAUGCGGAUUUGAUUGGAGCUGGAUGAACCAUCCAUGAAGGACAUUACCUCAUAACCAGUGGUGGCAUCAAUCAUCAACUCUGGUAUGGGGAUUGAAAAGUCAUCCUUAGGGCAGGCAUUGUUGAGAUCCCAAAAGUCGACACAAACUUGAAUUUGGCCAUUCUUCUUCCGUACCAGAACAAUACUUGAAAUCCAUAUGGGAUAUUUGACUUCGUGAAUAAAGACAACCUCAAUGAGUUUGUUAACUUCAUUUUUAAUUAAUGGUACCAACUCUGGCCAAAAGUGUCUUUUGGCUUGCUUAACAGGACGAGCACCAUUCUUGACCGCCAACUGAUGGACUGCUACUUUUGGAUCUAAGCCAACCAUUUCCUUAUAGCUCCAAGCGAAGACAUCCAUAUAUUCUUUGAGCAUGUCCAUAUAAAGAACUUCCUCCACUACUUCUAGAAACGCACUUAGGUAAGUUGGUCUUUGGUCUUCAUUAGUUCCAAGAUUAACUUCCUUCAGGGAAUGUAUUGUCGCCUUUACUCCUUCUUCAAGUCUAGAUGGAGCAUCUUCCUCCUCUGAAGAAUCAUCGUCGUUGAUGGAUAUGUGUUGACACCAGAAAGUGUCUUCUAUCUCUUCAUAUUUGAGAUGAGGCCUCAUUCUCAUUUUGGAUCGUAACAUGAUAUGAAGAGCCAAUAAUUUUUGCAUCUUUCUCACGUUCCUUGGUAUACACCACAGUAUGAGGUUUAUAUUUUAACACCUCGUUGUAUUAAACUACAAGUUUUAUCUGUCGCUUCAUUCUAGAAGGAAUCAAACUUUGGAAAUCUUUUUGUAUUUUAAGUGAAGAGUGCAUCAUCAUGCUUUGACGACUUCUUUUACCUUUGUUUAUUUUUACCUUAUUUAGAGGUCCUAAACUUUCGAACACAGAAGUUCUUGCAGUUGAUUCUCUAAGUCGAUCAAAGAUAGAAACCCUUUUAUUGGAUGCAGUGGACUCUUCUUCUACAGUGAUAUAGUUGCUAACCUCCCUUCUUAUGGAGAUGCGAAUUGGAGGUGGCUGCGUAUAUCCUAAGCCUUCAUGUGCCUGCCUAGUCGUUUCUUCUGAUGGAAGUUUGGCCAACCUUGAUGGCUCAUUUGGAUUGUAUCCAGCCUUUACAAAUAGCUUGUAUGCAUUUGGAUCAAAGCUAUCCUUCGUACGUUUCAUAGGGAGUGUCAUAUCUUGUGGCAGAUUUUGAGCCACAGACUCUUCAAGAAGUCUUGAGGAUGGAUUUAUUGCAUUAAUCUUCCUGAUAGGUAAAGUUAGUCCCUUUAUCACAUUAUCUUAGGAAUCCGAUGGGUGAUCUUUCUCUUUUCCUACCUUUGGUACGUAACAAAGAACGGGAGUUGCCUUCUUUUUCGUAGAAGUGAUAUCUUCUUAUUUGAAAUGGAGAGAGGCUUCUUGGUGGCAACUUUUUUGGCAGUCACCGCAACCUUCUUAGAUGCAAGAUCAUCAUACUUGGUCUUGGUGAUAUCUUCAACCCUUUUCUCAUCCACAACAUACUUUUUAAGUAGAAUUUUGCAUCGGCAAAAUGUAACUCAGCUUCAGUGAAUGGUUUGUCAUAGGCAACUAUCUUUAUUUCUACUCCGCCUUCAAGGUCCUUCAAACAUUAAUAGUAAGAGGACGAGAUAAUUUUGUUCUCGUGCACCUAAGGCCUACCAAGCAAUAUAUUGUAUGAAGUUUUGGCAUCGAUCACUGCAUCAAUGGGUUUGAUUGAAAAUCAUCCAUACGAAUCCCUAACUUGAUACAUCCCAUGGCCCUCUGUCCUCCUUGGUUGAAGCCUUGGAUCAUUAUAAGGCUUUCGUCCAAUUCGCUAGUAGCGGUGCCAAGUUCCUUCAUCGUGCGGAUAGGCAGGAUAUUGACUCCAGAUCCCUCAUCUAACAAGAAUCUAUUGAUGUUCUUUCCUAGAAUUUGACCCACCAUGAAUAAGGGAUGGUUAUGUAGGUCCUCACCAAGUAGAAGAUCGUUAUUUGUGAAUGUAAUUUUUGUAUCACACACAUGUGCCUCUUCGCAAAAAGUUUCAACAAGCUUUUCGGAAGGUGAAGGAACCUCCAUGGGUAGAUUCUCACCCUUUGUACCCUCUUUGGUGGUAUUAAAACAAGACGCCUCAAGGUUGACUUGGGCAAUCUUUACACAAAACCAACUCGGUAAAAAUUUCUCUAAAGUCACCGGACGCCGAGGUUUUUGGUGGUGAAUCUCCGUCACCCUCGUCCCCUUUGUAAGUUCAACCAACUUUUGUUUUUUUGGUUUCUUCACCAUUCUUCUUUCGGUUGGCUGCUCGUACAUCUCCUUUCGCAGACUCGUCUUCUUGCAUCUGCGUUUGGUCACCAUAGUCCAACCUUCAUCAUUAUCUUUGUUAUCUGAAGACCUAUCGGGCUCUAAUAUUUCCUCAUUAUACUCUCCGAAACAUAGUUGGACUGGGUCGAGUGAGCCAAAAGUGAUGGAUAUUUAAUGAGAACUGGCCGUCUCAUCGUCGAAGAAGAUUUUCUUCUCUUUUGUCAGUUGUAUGACUCUAUCUUUAAAGACAAAGCAUUUCUCCAGGGGGUGACUUAUGAGCCUAUGAUAUUUGUAAUAAUUAGGGUCAUUGGUCCUUCCAGCUUCAUUGGGAUGCUUUAUCUAUGGGAGUUCAAUAAGCUUAUGCUGAAGGAGUUCAUCAAAAAUCUCAGCAACAUCAGAAUCAAGGAAGGGAUAUUCCUUUUCUUCUUGCAUCUCCUUUAAAGUUUUUUAAUUUGGACGUGCUCCAGAAGUCGUCUUCAUACUUUGCUUUUUGCUUACCUUUGUGGUUUCCUUCACAGGAGACACAUCAAUAUUCAUGGACUCCUUGUUUUCAUUUUUGGGAACAAACUUGCCCCAUCUUUUGUGUUCCUGCUUUUUCUUUCUCCUUUGAGGGUCAUGAAUAGACGCUCCUUCCUUUCCAGCAGAAGACAUGCUCAACUUCAUGUCGUGAGCACGAGUAGCUAACUCUUCAAAGGAUUUUGGUUUAAUUCCUUGCAAGAUGUAGAGAAGCCCCCAGUGCAUUUCUUGGACGCACAUCUCUAUUACAGAAGUUUCACUGAGCCUAUCUUUGCAGUUUAGACUCGUAUUUCUCCACCGAUUGAUGAAGUUGAUGACUGGAUCAUCUUUUCUUUAUCGAGUAUUUGUGAGAUCUAUCAUACUCACUGUACGCCUUGUGCUAUAAAACUGAUUCAGGAACUCGUAUUCCAAUUACUCCUAACUAUUAAUGGAGUUAGGCUUGAGAUCUGUAUACAAGUCAAAGGCAUUUCCCUUUUGAGAAUGAACAAACUGUUUGACAAGAUAGUCACCGUAAGUUUUAGCAUUAUUACAUGUCUCAACAAAGUGUGCGACAUGCUGUUUUGGGUUUGCUUUCCUCUCAAAUUGUUAAAAUUUGAGAAAUUGAUAGCCGGAAGGCAUUUUGUGGCUAUCUAUCCUCGCAGUGUAGGGCUUGGCAUACGCAAGAGAAGACUUGGUGACAACAUCAUAUUUGUCUUUGAGGGUUUUUUCAAUAAAUUCCCUCAAUUGCCCAAUUGGGAUCAUUCCCUCAGCAGAAACUUGCACCUCUUUAGUCGGUGGUGUUUGUUUCACAGGAUUUUCUAUCUCAUAAACCUCUGGAGCUUUUCCAGGUGCAUGGGUAGAUUCUUCGUCUAUCAAGCCUUCCACCCUAUCCACUAUCUUAUCAAUCCUAGCCUUUUAAUUCUGAACAUAGUUGGUCAGGCCUUCAAUUGAUUUUGUCAGAUUCGCAAGCUGCUCCUUCAUAGACGAAGCAUCAGUUACCAUUGCUUGCAUGAUCACCGGAGAUGUUAGAGAGUGACACGGAUUAUCAUAUAAGUUGAUCUUUGAAGUGUUCAGGUUAUGUGAUGUAAGUGGAGAUGACGCAUUUGUUGAGUGACCAUCGCUCUUUGCGCUAGAGUAUUUGGAAUCGGAAUGCUCAAGUAGAGCUAGAGUCUUCUUAAACGAUGCUGUGACAUUGCUUCCUUCUUCUGAAAUACUUGUAUUAGACUUCGCUCCUUUUGGGGUUGAGGAUCCAAAAACUGGAGUUGGCACAGACGACACUGGAUGUAUUUGUUGUCCUGGCAAGCCUGCCUUACUCCUUGUGACAGCUCCUAAACUUCUGAAAGUAACACCAAGGAUGCUUUCCACUUCGGCAGAGAACCUUGAAUCAGCGGCCUUGGAAGCAGUUGAUUGAGAGUUAAUCUUCUUGGAAGUUAUUUCAAUGUUGUUGAACUUUGCGGUUGGAAAAGCUGAGAUGAGAGGUAGAGAUUGUUCCACUGGGCAUGCCAAUUUGUUUUCAACAUAAUUUAGUUCAUGGAAAAUAAACUUCAACCACAAAUAAAAGUUUGAAGAAGCAACAGUUUUAUUGAUAAACGAUGGGGUACAAAUCUGUUCCUCCCUUGAUUCUUUUCUCAUGAUUUUCUCCGUAAUUCGAGUGUCAUAUUUCUUGAAUGUAUGAAGAUUUGGAUAUGAAUUUCUCCGUAAUUUGAGGGCAGUUAGUGGCGUAUUCUCAUGAUUUUCUCCGUAAUUCAAGGCCCAUAUUUCUCGAAUGUAUGAAGAUUUGGAUAUGAAUUUCUCUGUAAUUCGAGGGUCGUUAGUGACGUAUUUCUCGAAUGUAGGAACAUUUGGAUUUGAUCUCCAUGAAAGGAGGGUUUGUCUUCUUGAUGUAUUUGAUUAUCAAGAAGAGAGGGUUUUGAUCUUUAUGAAUAUCCCAUGAAUUAAUUGAGACUUUUUAGAUUGUUGAUAUCUUUAUCGUUGAUCUCUUUGUGAAUAUCCCAUAAAUUUGUGGGAUACUUUAAAGGAUAUUUGCCCCCUUUAUAUAGGCGUAAUUUAGGAUUUAGGUUGAGUAGCCAUCAAGCUAGAUUUAAGGAAUAGUAGGCCCCAAAAACUCUAACCAUAAUUAAACUCUUUUUGUAGAGUCCACAAAAUUUCAACUUCUACAAAUUCAUCUCUUUCUUUUUCAAUUGUUUCAUUUCUAGCUUGAAUAUCAGAAAGAACUUUCCUAGUUGCCAACAGUUCAUUAUAAUCAAUCCCUACUACUUUGCUCCUCCUUAAUCAAUUACCAUCCCCGUCGUCCAUCAUUACGAUAGUCUGUCAGAAUUUCAGUUGAAUCAUCCUAAAGUACAAAGAUAAAGUUUCAGCCAUCAUAGUUGCUGGCAUCCUAUAUCAAUCACAAAAAAUUAUUGGACAAUUUUAAAUAAUGUAUCUGAUAUUGUACUCAUACUCAUAUCUUUCUGUCAAGAGAUCACUAAUUUAUGUGUCAAAUUCUAUAAGAAUAGCAUCAAUCAAACAAUCUACUACAAUUUCAUGCCAAACUUAUUGGAAUUGUUUAUGUGAGAGUUGUGUGAGGUAAUGCAAACAUGAUAAUUUAUUGUGGGAAUGCAUCUAUUCUGUUUUCAUUCAUUUCGUUACUUGGUUCAAUAUAAUGUUUGGGCUAAAAUUUAUACUAGAAAUUGAUAUGACGUAUAUAUUUCAAUUGAUAUAUGUCAAUUAAAAUGGUAUAUAAAUUAGUACUUGAAAUGAUUAUUUAAUUACCUUAUCAAAAGCAUCAUAUGAAAAUGGUAUAACAUAUAUAUUUUAAUUGAUAUACGUCAAUUAAAAUGGUAUAAAAAUUAAUUUUUUAAAUAGUUAUUUAAUUAUCUUGUUAAAAAUAUUGUAUGAAAAUGAUAUAGAAAUUGAUAUAUAUGACUUACACAUCAUAUAUACCACGCUAAAAAGGAAAAAAAAUACAAUUUAUUUAUAAAAAAUGCAUACACUCGUGUAUUCGUAUAUAAUAUAAAAGACAAUAAUGUAUAUAUUCAUGUAUUUCCAACGAAGAAUUUCACUCACCAUUUUUGAAAGAAUUAAGAAAAUUAGAAAAUUUAUUAAAUCAUAAAUAACAAAUUAAUAUGACCAAUGACAUAAUCAAUUGCUGAUAAAUAUCUAGGUAUUAGAAAAAAAAAUGGUGCCAUUUUGGUGAAGCUUUCGAGAAUGAAGAUUUAUGAAUAGGUUAAAGGAAAACAAAAGGUUGAAGGAGAUGGUGGAAAUUUAAGAAUAAAUGUUAAGAUAGAGAAAAAUUAAAUAUAUGAGGAAAAAUACACAUUAAUAUAUAUUUCGAAAAGUCAGUCAAUUUAUCAAAAUUAAAUUAAAAAAAUAAAAAUUAAUCCGAUGAAAACAUAUUCGAAAAGUCAGUCAAUUUUUUUGUUAAACUUGAAUUGUUAUGUUUUGUAAAUAAAAUCUGGUUUUUAUAAAUAAAAAAUAAUAUAUUUAUAUUUUAUAAUUUAAGAUGUUAAAUUAUAAAUGUAUGUGAUUUCCACUGUAAUAAAAGGUAUUUGCGUAUUGUUUUUAAAAAUUCGAGGAUAUAUAUAGCCUUUGCCCAAGAGAAAAUUAAGUUUGGAUAAGAUGGGCAAGAAAGAAGCGCAUUUGACACAUUAGAAGCAACCGUGGCAAGCUUUUGCAUGUCCAAUUGCCACUUUUUUCUUUUUGCAUGUCUACUACUUGCGUGCCUAUCCGCCGCGUAGAAGCUGGUACAGGUUCAUUUUUUAAAUUUAACCGUUUUAGAUGUAGGAUUUUUUUAUUUUUUAUUUUAAAAUAAAAAUUUAUAUAAAUUUUUCUUGUCUAAAUUACAAUUAUUAAUGAUAAAAAUAUUAAAAAGUUAAAAAAUUAGUUAAUUUAAUUUAGAACGGUGGGAUUAGUUGUUUCCAGGUAUGAGCUGGCUGUACUUACUCCCGAGAUACUAAUAUAUAGUUUAGUUUUAGAGCGACCUUAUUAUUUUAGGCACAAAAUAGUGUGAAAAGAGAGAGGAGGAUAUAGAGAUCGGUUUGAUUAUGGAGGCGGAGACAAGUGAAGGUAAUAAUUCUGCUCCAUUAAGUGCAGCUACUGCUACUGCAACUGCUUCAAAGAGGAAGAUGAUAAUGGUGGCUAUUGAUGAGAGUGAAGAGAGUUUCUAUGCUCUUAACUGGGCAUUGGAUCACUUGCUCAACAAUCCUUCUUAUAUUAUCACUUUAAUUAAUGUCCAACUUCCUUUUAGCCCCAUGGUUUAUCCUGCUGGACCAGGUACGUACUGCUCCUUUCGUUUAAAAAAUAAUUGAAUUGUUAGAGUAUUUUUUAGUAUUUAAAAUAAUUGAAUUGUUUAUUAUUAAGAUAGAUGUUGGAAAAUUUUUUCAAUUUUAUUCUUCAUUAAUUAAAUUUUCAAGGAUGAGUUCUAAUGAUUAUUACUAGUAUUUUGGAGUUUGAAAAGGGCAAAAGUUUUUGCCUUUUUUCUUAAGAUGUGUGUCAUACCUCAAUAAUUUAAUUAUUUUGAAAUGGAAGGAGUACUAUCUUUUCUGCCUAUAUAUACAUCUUUCAAAACUCGGGAUUGUUUGGUAGGAGGAAAAAAGGAAUAAUUUUAGAAUUAAUUUUAGGAUGAGCUUAUUUUAUGCUUGAUUGGAAUAAAAUGUAUGAAAUAACUCAUUUCAAGAUUAGUUAUUUCUGAAUUACUAAUAUUAUUUUUAUCACUUUUUGAAAAUGAAAUAACUGUUAAUUAAUCCGGACUAACUUAUCGUCUCACCAACUGAUCCUUACACUUGGGGUUGUUUGGUACGUGGCUAAACCAUCUCUAGGACAAGAAUCCUGGAAUUAUAAUUUUUGAAUCAAUUUAUACCAUUGGGUAAAUCUUAUACCAUUAUAAUCCUGGAUUGACAUAUAAGCAUAUGGGAGGCAGUAUAAAAUAAUUCAAUCUUGAAUUGGAUAAGGUAUGAAUUGAGACAUUUAAAGAUUAAAUCUGGUAUUAGAUUUAUCUCUUUUUAGUUGAUACUAUAAAUUAGUCUGGGGCCAAAUAUAGUAUAAGUUUAAUAUCAAACUUAAUUAUAUAUCUCAUCUUAAUCCACCUACCAAACGAUUACUUUAAUUUAUCCCAAACCUUAACACCGCACUAGCUUCUCUUGCAUGAAAAAACAAAUAGCUUGGGGAGUAAUAAUAAGAGGAGGAUUAAUAGAUUAGUUAGGAGUACUUACAAAAAUCCCACUCAAUUAAUGUACCACAAUACUUUCCUCCGUUCGCUUUUACUUGUCACUAAUUUCCUAAUUGAGUUUUUAGUUUGACUUUGUCAUUUUUGACAUAUCAAGAUUUAAGACAAUUUUUUUUUUUCUAUUUUACCCAUAGCAUUAAUUGUUUUCAAAUUAAUUUCAAGAUAUCCAAACAUCAUUUAAUAAGGUAUUAUAGUAAAAUAAUCAUGUUAUUAGUUGUUUUUUUUAAUAUGUGUGUCAAGUUAAAAUGUGACUCGUAAAAGCGAACGGACAGAGUAAUUGAAUUUACAGUUACAAUGUUUUUAAUAAAAAUUGUUGUAGUUCAUGUACCCUACUUCUUCCGUUCGUCAAAUGAUAUAAACUUUAACUAAUAUUUUAAGAGGUAUUUUUUAAUUAAAAGAAAAAUGUGAACUUCUCAUAUUUUUUUAAAUAUCUAAAUUUUGAUUUUAGAAUAUCAAAUUAAUCUAAUCUAAUUUAGAUUUGAAAAGUCAAAUUUGACUUUUAAAAAAAUGAAACACAAUUUUAAAAGGGACAGAGGGAGUACAUGAUAAACCCUCCCUCCACUCUUUCAUAUGUAUAUUUGUAGGGUAAGUUUAAAAACGGACGCUUUUGGACUUGUUUGGCUAGAACUCCAAAUACUGGUUUAAGCUUAAAAUAUGACAUUUUCGUGUGUGUCACCAUCGCUAAUGCUCUUUAAUUUCCAUAGUAUAAUCACUUUAUACUUUCUGCAGUUCUCCUUGAUGUGUGUAUGUGGAUCGUUUUGAACUCCUUCCACCAAUGUUUCUUCCAAAUUAUUGGACUUUAUUUCCACAAAUCUUGCUAAUGGAAUCAAACUUGUUUUUCCUUCCACGAGUGCUCAAGCAAGAUUUGAAUCCUAAAUGGAUUUCUUUGGGCAUUAUUCAAUACUCUGUGGUGGAGCUUCAACACAAUACGACUACCUUACGUACUAGUAAUAAUCUAAACUUGUCAUUAUUAAAAUAAAAAUAUCCAACUCUAACUCUCCGUGAUUCAUUGGUUCAAUGGAAGGCCAGAGAAUAAAAUGAUCUCCCUCGAAUUGGUGUCUCCUCAACUGUGGUAAACUCCUUUAGUUAUAUCAAGAAAUUCUCGACCUCCAAACUUGCCGCAAGAAAAUGAUGUUAUGAAAAUUUUCAUGAUGGAAAAUGUAUCCAACCUCACAUCUCAAACUUGGUCCCCAACUUCAAUCAUCCACCAAGAAUUCUUGCAAAUAGGCUUAUGCCUGUAUAUGCCUACUUGAGCACUGUCAAAAUGAAGGUCAUAUUACAAAUUAAUGUCCACCUUGACCCAAUUUUGGAUGAUAUAUAAUACAUUUGCUUCAUCUUUUCCUUAAAAUCUCAUAAGGUAAAUCAUUCUUCAUAAACCACUCGAGUUCCCGAUCUUAACAUGUAUUAAUUUGUUUACAUUUAUAGUUGUGUUUGCUGCCCCUACUGUGGUUGAAGCAGUGAGAAAAUCACAACAUGAGAAUGCAACUAGAAUACUCUCUCGGGCACUCCUCCUCUGCAAACAAAAGAUGGUAGAUUCAAUUACAUUUUCUUCUUGCUCAAUUUCUUGUUGAUUAUUUCUCCACAUAAAAAGUUAAUUAGUCAAAAACCGAGGGUUUUCUUUUAAGCUGAUGAGUUUCAGUUCUUCUAGUUGGUGUUUUUAAACCUCAAAUUUUUAUUAAGCUUGGUCUUGUGAUGUUUUGAGUAUAUUAUGGUUGGUUUAGGUGAAGGCGGAGACUCUGAUCCUUGAAGGGGACCCAAAAGAUAAGAUAUGUCAAGCUGCUGAUGAAUUGCAUGUUGACCUUCUAGUAGUGGGUAGCCGAGGGCUCGGCAAGAUUAAAAGGUAAAUUUUAUUUCCCAAUUUUUGAGGCAACGCAUUACAUGAUUGGAAUAGGAUGGGGACUUGACCUUACUUCAUUGUCCUAUGUGAAUAUUGAAUAUGUUCAAACUUCUUUAUAAGGAGUGGCAAUCAUGGGCGGAGCCACCUUUAGAGAAGGGUGGUCAGAUGCACAGCACACCCUUCUCUUGAAAAUUAUGUGGUGAAUAGAGGUUAAAUAUUAACCAUCACGAGUGUAUAUUCAAUUUUGCACUCUCUUAACGUAGUUGAGAAUAAAAUGUGCACGCCCUUCAUCAAGUUCGUGGCUCCGCCACUGGACUGGCAAUGGUGUAGCUAGGAUAAUUCUAUUUAACUUCACAGAAAAAAAAAUUCUCUAUUCCAAGAGGAUCUCUGGCCUAUACAUAUUGAAGACGACUCUUCCCUGUACAAAUAUAUGUAAAUACAUUAAGGCAGAUCAUACUCUUGGAAGUAUCUCUAUCCUAGCAAAAGACUCGUCUGAAUUGAAAUGUAGAGAUAUGUAGCUUAUCCAUAUUGAGGUACCUUUUAACAGCAUAUCUAAUUUAAAAGUCGUAAUUGGGGUUGAGAUGAUGACCAUAUAUAGGUCCUGACCUUGUGAGAGUUGUUAUAAGAAUGGUGUUUGUUUAUAUGCAAUGAUUUGAUAGUUUCUUGCACAAAUCACUAACGUUGGAAAUGUUCAAACCUUUUGUCAUUACCAACAUGAACCUGAUCAUUGCCAGAUACUCUCAUCUAGCAACCAUAUUUAGUUUGUGUGUCAUUAGCGAUAAGGUUUGUGGUUACAGGAGGGAGGGAGGGUAAUUGACAUGAUUAAAGUGAUGAUAGCAAUUUAGGGUGGAUUUUCCUAUGACAUAUUUGACACUCUGUGGAGACUUGAAGAGGCACAUUGAUUGUUGUUGUGACCUUUCUCGCAUACAACUACUUAUUGUUCUUAGCUUGCCACCAUAAAAGUUGUUGGAUUGGAGUUUAGCUUUGGGAUCUUCCUAAAUAGGUUUUAGGCUUCUCAUAUGGUUAAGGUUUUGAAUGCAUAUAUAUAUAUAUAUAUAUAUAUAUAUAUGUGGGUGUGGGUGUCCAAGCCUGUACUCUUAAAUUAAGAUCAGUCCCAUGCAUGUUUUCACAAUUCUAUUUUUGAUUGAAUCGUUAUCGGCACCCAGUGCCUCGGAGCUUCCAUUAUUCUUUGCACACAAGCUGUAUUACAUGGAAUAUCAUAGUGUCAUCCUGUAACAGUAAGUUGUUUGAGCUUCAUCUUUUUACACAUAGGAUGGUACCUAAAAUAAGGUAAUUUGUUCACCGUUCAUCCUUUUUUAAUAUUUUUGAUAGAUACUCCCAUCUACAACACAAAUAGUAGGGGAGAAAUAGGGUUAUCAUGCCUUAAGCCCCUCUUCCUUCAAAGUACCCACAACCUUUGCCAUUUAAUUUGACACAAAAUUUAAUGGCAUAUACACAAGUCAUAAGAAUUCGAAUAAAUUUGGUACAAAGUCCAUAUCCCUCCAACAUUUCUUUAACAAAUUAAUCUUCAUGAUACCAUAUCAUAUGCCUUCUUCGAAUCUAUUUUCGUUAAACAUCUAGAUGAAGUCUUUCUAUUGCAGGGUUUUUAAAGGUCAGGACACACAACAAAUAAUUGUGUUUCACAAAAGCAUCUUGUGUGCUGAUAGAGCAGCUAGUACAUCAGAGAGUCGAAGUCUAUAAGAUGCACUUACAUUAAACAUUACAACGAAAAAUUGGUCUGAAUUGACUAGUUGGUAAUAGGAUUACUUACUUUUAGAAUAAGAGAGAUCAAGGUAGCAUCCAACUGCUUUAGCAAUUUUUCCAGUUUUAGAAUUAAUUCCAACACUGCACCACAUGCAUCGUGCCCAUUGACAUCCAAGCUCUUAAAAGAUCCACCACUAUACCCAUCUAGCCUAAGCUGUCAUUACAUUGAUACUGAGCAUGGCCUCCUUUACACUCCAAUAUUGUUGCUCCUUUGGAAGCCUAGGUUCCUUACUGUAAAAACUUGCAUGUGUUUUACUCUUGGACUCCAUCCACACCUAAUAGUUGCUGGUAAAUAUCUAACAAGCACCGUUGAUUAAUUUUAGCGUUGCGUAAACUCUUUGUUUUUUAAGGAGAGCGUUGUAAAAUUUUUUAAACGUGACAUGUUAAAAGGUUCAACUGAAAAUCUGUAGACAAAACCAACAGAAAAUUUAGUACUUGUUUUACAUAAUUUCAGUGUAUAUAUUAAUGAAACAUCCAUCCUUGUUGAUCUCGUGUGUGUCUGACAAUAAUGUUCCUCUUUUUGAAUGAAGUUGCUUGCUUUUAAUUGGAAGGUUUAAGAAUAAUGAUCUCUCACACAGUAAUUAAACUUGUUUUGCAGGGCUUUUCUGGGAAGUGUGAGUGACUAUUGUGCUCAUCAUGUGCAUUGCCCUAUUCUUAUUGUGAAGCCACCCAAGGAACACCCCAAAAGUAGCUAAUUAGGAACCAAGCAAUGCAUGAUGUUUCUUAGUUGUUGAUGAAAUAAAUAGAAGUUUAUUGUGGAUUGUAAAAUUUAUGUAAUGUGGAGAGCUUUAUUAUCAAUAAAUCAAGGUUGUAUAAAUAUGUAGUGUCUAUUUGAUAGCAUUGCAACAGAGGGUCUUUGAGAAGCUAUUUAUAGUAGUUGAUAUUUUUCCUAUUAUGAAUUGAAAAAAUAGUACAAUCUGAUUAGAGACGAUACAUAAUAAAGGAUUACCUCUUGAGGUAGAUCUUAGUUUUGGGAGGGCUUAAACUUUGUGGGAGUUUUAUUUUGAGUUGAUGUGAUUAUCGUAGUUUUUAAUCACCUCGGAUAGAAAGUGCUCACUCUCUAAAGAAAGUCGGGGCCCAAAAUAAAUGAUUUAAAGUUUUUAUUUGUACAAGUCUUACUUUAUAAAAUGUAUAUUUUUAUUUCUCUUGUUAUUUUGAUUUACUUAUGUAUAUUUUAUUUCUCCUGUUAUUUUGAUUUACUUAGUUUUUUUCCCUUCAUGAGCAUGUUGUCGUCUGAGUUGAACCCCGGCCAUUUUCAAUAUGAUCAUGUCGCAACUUCAUCCACCUUCUUGUAUUACUGCCUCUUCAACUCUUUUCUUCAAGUUGAAAAUUGUAUUAAAAAUGUUUCCUCACAAUUCAAACAGUUUUACAAACUAUACAGAAAAAAAAAGAAGUAUGGAUAGGCGAGAAUAGAAUUCUAAAAGAAAUAGUAGAAAGAAAAAAUACUGCUAUUAGCAGUACCGCCAUCGGUGCUACAAUGCCUGAGAACUGAGAAGCCUACCAUGGUCCAUGGGUAAUACUAGGUGACUAGAUGUCUUUGAGCUAGUAUUUAUUGUAAAUCUAAAUUGGGUUAUAAUGACUUCAAAUUAGAGGAACUGGAUGUAUAUAUUCGAAAUUUCCCCUUUUAUACUUCUUACCGCUAGUUCUCAGUUUUAAUACAUAGAUUCUAUGAUGAUUACAAACUUUUCAGGAAUCAGGUUCAGGAUCAUUUCGUGCAUAUUUUGGCAGUCAGCAUCACAACUCUAUUUUGUAUUUUUGUCAGAAAGUUGGUAGGCACGGUAGCACAGGCUUUGCAGGCUUUUUAGCGAGAUCAAUAAGAUUUUUUACCGAGAUCAAUCAGAAUGGUUUUAGGUUUUCGUGUGUCAUAUAUAUAUAUAUGUAAAAGGAUGACUAGUGAAAACAUCAAGUUUUUGCAUCUCCUAGUAAAAGCACUUGUUUGUUCACAUUCAAGGUUUCAUUAGCCAUGGAGACCUGCUCGACCAAACUUGUUUUAUU
rnacentral:lncRNA from 1 species